GCUUGGAAGCUCACCUCCUAUUCUUAAUUCUUGAAGAGACUUCAGAUUGUGUAAUCCCUUGGGUAAGGCCUCUAGUCUCUUACAAUCAUAUAUCUCCAGCCUCGUGAGUUUCGCACAAGGCAAUCCCCCUUCGGGAAAGGUCACCAGAUUUCCACACCACCAAAUUUUAAUCUCUUGAAGCUGGCGGAGAUUAUGUAAACCACUCGGUAAAUUCUUCAGUUUUUCACAAAAAUCAAUUCUGAUUAUUUCAAGAGAUGUGUUGUCGUCCAACCUUUCAGCUAUUGACUCCAGCUUUGAACAUCCAUAAACACAAAGGGACUUAAGAGACGGAGGUAGAUUGCCAACUUCAAGGGACUCAAGCGUGGCAGGUAACUCAUUUUUUGAAAAUAUACAUGUCAGUGAUGGACAAUAGCGAAUGCCUAAGUGCUCAAGAAGAGAUGAGUUGUACCUUCUGCUGUUGCUGCUGCUACUGUGGAUGCCCUCUUCCACUGUCAAAGUCCUUAUAUUACCGCACUCAUCGAUGAACAACGUCUUAAGGCUCGGUGGUAGCUGGACUCCAGCAAUAUAUCUCAACGAAUGGCAACUCUCAAUAUACAAGAUCUCGAGAGAUGAAUUUGUGUCGCACAUCCAUGCCUCUGGUAACGAUUUCAGUGCAUCACAUUCACUAAUCUCAAUUUUCUUCAACUUGGAAGGCAGAGCAACCUCAGGAAAGGAAUCAAGGGAAUUGCAGCCGCCAAUGAAUAUCUCUCUCAAGGAACUCAGGCUGAGCAGUGAUUGUGGCAGCUUCACAAGGCCUUCACAUAUGUACAGUCUUAGAUAUUCAAGCCUGCAUGAGAACUCGCAGAGCUUCUGUCGUUGGUCUUCCUCUUCCUCAGCCACCAAGGAUUGAAGUUUAGAACAGCUUGUAAUCAUCAGUCUUUUGAGAGAGCAAAUGUCUUGCAGUAAUUCGGUAUGACUCUUCCAUAUAUAUGUUUCAUUUUUAAUAUUAUUUAUCCCCAAUUCUUCCAGUUUUGGUAUUCGCGGCUUCAAUGGCCCUGCGAGAAACACUUGAUUUGAUGUAUCUCUAGAAGCCACUGAAUUCUGUGAGCCGAGAUGAUCAGUUGCACUUCUCCCCACAACUUUUUUACAUUCACCAAUUUGCAAGUUGCAAAGAGCUGGAAGACUAGUAACUGAAACUGACAAUUCUUCACAUCUACCAAUUUGCAAGUUGCAAAGAGCUGGAAGACUAGUAAGUGAAACUGACAAUUCUUCACAUCCAUUAAUUUGCAAGUUGCAAAGAGCUGGAAGACUAGUAACUGAAACCGAAAAUUCUUCACAUCUGUAAAUAACAAGCAUCUGCAAUGCAGGAAGGCAUUUUGGAAAGGUUCCUCGCAGUUUAGAACAUCUUAAAAUGUGAAGCUCUCUCAAUUUAGGAAACCGUUCAACUCCCUGACUGGAUCCAUGAGGAAUCCAGUCUUCCCAUUCUUGCAUGUCUUCAAAACGAAGAGUCUCCAAGCAUGGAAAUGGAAUUGGAGAGUCAUUCCCAUAGAACUCUGAACCCAAUCUCUUUACUCUACUCAUUCCACGCACUGUAAGAUGCUUUAGAGAGGGCAGUUGCCCGACAGACGGCAGGGCAGUGCACAUGCCGCAAUCUUCAAAUUUAAGUGUCACUAAAUUUGAGAAUGAGGAAUCUCCUAACCAUGUUGGAAAUUUUGUGCCCCCAUAGCCACAGAUAUAAAAUUGUUCCAGAUUUUUAUGGGGUUUGAGCAUGUCGAGCACGCCCAUUUCAGUUUCUGCCUCCCUUGAAGAUGAACCAUCGGUACAGCAUGUCCAUCGAAGCAAUAAUUCUCUAAGAUUCUUCUUUCCAUCCAUUUGAGCCUCCUUCGCAUUAUCAACGUAUUUUACGUUCUCUAAUUUUGAAAUUUUAAGUGUCCCACGAAGAUGCAUUAACAACUUUAGCUCUGGUAACCCCGAACAGCUGUCUUUUCCCACAACAAAAUUACACGUCUGAAGACAAGUCAACUUGCCAAUUCCUACUGGCAUUUCCUUCAACAAAUCUGUAUUUGAAUUAUUGAGAUGAUGCAAUUUGAUGAGAUUUCCCAUGUCUGCACACAACUUCUUCAGUCGUCGACAACCCACCAACAGAAGGGUGUGCAAGUUGUAAAGCUUGUUGACUGAUUCAGGCAGAGUUCUAAUCUCAGUUCCAGACAGGUUAAGGUGCCUUAAAUACCUCAAAUCACCAACUGAAUCCGGCAGCUCGGAGAUGCAAUAUCCACGCAGAGAGAAGACCCUUAAGCUUUGGAGUUUGAACAACCUAGGGAGAAUGCUAUGAGCCAAGUAUCCAUGCCGACUAUUUAACAACAUCAGUGGUAAAAAAGUUCUCAAAUGUUGGAUAUCAUACAAUUUCUCAAACCUUUCAACGCCAUCAUAUUCUCCACAAAUGUAUGAUAGAUGACGAAGAUUUCUGGAAAAUCUUUGCUGCUGGUUAACCUCCGAGGUAUACUCCAGUGUGAAGUAUGUCUCCCCUGCAGCCCAACGGGCAAGGUCGUUGAUAAGAUCGUGCAUAACAAAUCGUGAUGCAUCGGUGGCCGAUUGCUGGAAAAAAGAUCUUGAACAUAGCUCCUUAAAGAAAUCACGACCUAAAUCUUCACUAGGAUUCUGACCUUCUUUGUGAUCCAAAAAACCGGAGGCACACCAUAAUAAAAUUAUCUCCUCCUCUUCAAAUUCAUAAUCCUUUGGUAACAAUGAGCAGUAUGCAAAGCAUUGUUUCAAAGUUGGAGGAAGAUAAUAAUAGCUCACCGCAAGGGCUGGUAUAAUGCGGCAUCUUUCUUCUGGCAAUUCCCAUAUCUUGCUAAUGAGCACACGUUCCCACUCACGUCUGUCAUGCUCUCCACGUAAAAGUCCUCCAAGCGUUUGUGCUGCCAAGGGCAAGCCAUCGCAUUUGGUCACUAUCUUCCUGCCGAUUUCCUCUAAUGACAUAUGUGAACUGAAAUCUCGCGUCCCCAAAGAAUGUUGAGCGAAUAUAGCUAGACAAUCAUUAUAUGACAGCUUUUUUAAUUGAUAAGCUGGAAGAGUCCCCAUGAUUUUUGCAACCUCAUGAUUGCGAGUACUAACAAUAAUCUUACUUCCCCGUGCACUUGCUCCAAGCGGACGGCUAAAGUCAACCCAAUCAUCGUAAUUCCGGUUCCACACAUCAUCUAAAACAAGCAAAAAUUUCUUUCCAGAUAGUUGCUUAUUCAGUUCCUCUUGAAGCUUAUUCAAGUUUAGAUUAUCCACAUUCUGGUGAGUCACGAUGGAUGUCAAGAUUGUUUUUGUUAGCCUGAUAACAUCGAAAUCAUCUGAGACACAAGUCCAUGUCUUGAGAUCGAAAUGAUUCUGCACUCGAUCAUCAUUAUAGGCAAGCCGAGCAAGAGUAGUUUUGCCCAGCCCACCAAAACCUACAAUAGGUAUAACCGAGAAUCCACCAUCAUUUCUCAAAUCAUCCCUCAACAACAAUUCAACAAUUUCCUUCUUAUCUGUUUCCCUGCCAUAGACGUUGGCUCCAGUCACUACAGAGGUUGUCUCUAGCCUUUGACUGGCUUUUUUGGACCCUCCAGCUGAACUUACGUUCAAACCCAGCGAGUCUUUCUGUGUCACAAUUUCUUGAAAUCUGUCGUUGAUCUCUUUGAUUUUGGACAUCAUGGCGUAAUCGAACUGAAUCAAUUGUGGUGUAAAAGUGGUGCAGCAAGUAGGAAUGAGCUUCCGAAACUUACUUGUUCUUGUACGACUGCUACUGGGCUGAUCCUGAGCCGCAGCUGGAUCUCCAUUUUCAAGCAGCAACUUCCUCCGGAAAGCCUCAGUUUGAAACUCAUCCAACAAGUCUUCAACAUCAUAAGCCAAGUCCUGAAGCUUGCCAAGCCACUUCUUCACAAACUGAUUAGUCGUCUUCUUCUCCUCAGCAUCAUCAAGCACCGCCUUGAUCAUCUCCAACAUAUUCGCCCACUUCAUCAGAUCGGCCUUGAUUUGCUCUUGGCGUGCAAAAAAUAGAAUCCCCUCUGAAGCUAACUUAUUGACCAGCAAAUCAACGGACGCCGUAAGGAUUGCCUCUCCGAUGAUUUACAUUUUUUUUUUUCUUUCUUCUCCUUUUUUUUUGGGGGGCAAAGAAAGAAGCAGAAUUUUGAGUUUUGAAAAGCAAAAUGAGAAAAUUGAACAGAAAGUGUGAAGGGUCAAGAAAAACGCAGGUAACAAGUCUUCCACUUCUUGUUUAUUCCAGGAAAGUGAAAUUGAAAACAGAGCCCACCACCCAUUAAUAAUUUAGCAAUUCACCAAUCGUUGCCAGAUUCAAUAAAUAUAAAAUCGCACGUUGAUAUUUGUAGGGCCAAGCAACAUUAAUCAAGUGUCCGGGUAAAUGCGGAAUAAAGAGCAAAAUGGAAUGUAUCUACUACGGACCUUCGCUUUACAAGUCUUCAAAGUCAUAAUAGCUAAAUCAAAACGUUUCUCUCUCUGUGUCUCUCUUAUAUAAUUACUUCAUUUAUUGAAUUAAUUUUCAUGCUAAAACGAAGACUUAAAAGUACACUACAAUUUUUUUAUAAUCACAGAAUGAUAACUUCAACUAUUAUGUUAUAUUAAUUUCGUGUUAAAAUAAAUUACAAUAAAAUUUUAGUCGAAUAUAAUAAGUUCGACUUAUUUAUUAAAUAUAUAUAUUUAAUAAAAUAAUAACACAAUUAAUAUGUUAUCAAUCAAAUAAAAGUUCUAAAGUGAAAACAAAAUCGGCCCCCACGACCAUCAAUAAUGUAGCAAGCUUCACUUUAUUACACUAAAGUGAAAACAAAAACAGCCGCUACCACCAUCAAUAAUUUAGCAAGCUUCAAAAUGCUGGUGCUUGUCCGCUUGACGAACUGGGCAUGGGUGGACCAGGCAUCAUUGAGCAAUUCGGAAAAAAUUAAAUAAUAAAAAAAUCAGCGUCCAGCAAAGAGAAUCCAUCUUUAUACGUUGCUUCCUACUUAGUACGUCUAUUGAUAUGUACAUCUAUCUAACAUUUAGAAAAUGGAAGUAGAAACUGGAACUCACUUUAUGGCUCGUAUGCAAUACACGUAUCAACAUUUAAUUAGAGUUCACACACACACACGUGUGUGUGAGUCUAGUUUUAAUUGAGAGAUAAAUUAAACAUAAAUACUAUGUUUCUAAAUGAUUGAAUAAUGAUAUUAUUGGUAUUUAUAAAUUUCUAAGAUGCGAUAAUUAUGUGGGGGGCAUAUAUUUAUGGUUAUAGAAAAUGGCGGUAAAAAUGGAACAAAUCUAAUAUAAUGAAAAAGUGUAAACUAUAGUAAAUUAAUGUUUACUUCAAAGUACGUUAUAAAUAUCGCUUUCUUUAAUACGUUAUUUGCUCCCACCAAUUGAGUUAUGCAUAUGGGUUAAGCAAAUAUGCAUGUAGGAUACAAUAAAGUGUUGAUUUGUUUGUUUAUGUUGUACAUCAAUGAAAGUAAACAUGAAUAUUCUUGAAUGUUAUAAGCCUACCAAGAAUUAAUAGAUUAUUCUUACAAAAAAAUAAUAUGUUGGAUAUUUGAUGCAUAAAAAAUAAAUGUUGAUUGAUGAAAUUCUUUUGAAGAAAGAGGACUACAAAAAAAUGGUGUAGGAUCAUUUUAUUCAUGUCUAAGUGACAUUUAUUUUUAUGAAUGUGAGGGUAUUUUGGUAAUUUUAUGGACACAAGAGUUGUGUGUUGUGGAUAGAUGUUCAUUUUGAACUACAUUACGUGCAGUUAGUCGUAUUUCACAUUUAUAAAAAGUAACUAUGUCGUUUCCUUGAUUAGGAGAAACUGCGAGUGAGAACCAAGCCGCGAAUAUGAACGAUAGUCGAGUUUAAGCAUUGUCACUAUGAGUGAAAUAUGCAAACUCAUUUUCAUAUUUUAUUAUGAUUUUAGAGUGUAGUAAACCAUAUUUGCAAAAUAAGAUUUUAAUGCUCUAAUUAUCAAUUAAUCAAUGAAUAAAUAUUUGUUGACUUAAUUUUUGUCAAUCAAAUUUUCUAAUCACAAUGGUAUCGUUUCUGUUUAUUAUUUUAUCAUUAUGCAACAACUUUCUCUCACAAGAUAAUAGAUUGUAGUAUUUCAUACCAAAUUAACACUCGUCCAUGUUACCGAUGAAAAUAAUGGUAGCAUUAUUAGAGAGCUUUUUCUUUUCUUGUUUUUCCCCCUUUUUCUGUUUUGUCCUUUGUUUGAUUGGGUGUAAUGAAACAGAUAUAACUAGGGACCAAGCAUGCAUGACCUAUAUAUAUCUUCAUCAACAAUCAAGGAAACAAGGGAUUGAAUUUGAUGCGUCACAUUAAUCCACCAAAGGAUAGACAUGGGACUUGACAUGAAAAUAAAUACAAACACAAACACAAACAUUUACUCCUCCAAUGAUUGUUUCAAUAUCCUUACCCUUGAUAUUUGCUCACUUUUAUAAAAUAUAAAUCUGCUGGUGAAUUUUUGGUACCUUAAACAGUUUUCUGACUUAUGAGGAAAAAAAAACUAUUUUUUUUUAAAUAUUGCACAGAGAAAUUAAAAAAAGAAAAAAAAACUGUUAAAGAGACUAAAUUAAUAAUGGUAGAAUGCUGACAAAAAAAAAUGUUAAAAUUAACUCAUUUUAAUGUGUUGACAAUUGAGUGAUUACAAUGAGCCCGACUUACAUUUUAUAUGACUAUAUUCAACUAGAUCACAUACAAAAUUUGAUUACCUUCACUACUAUAAGAUAUUAUUUGAUCAAUACAAAUUAAUUCAAAUCUGAUAUGUUAAGUAGAGAAUAACAAUGUUUUAGAUCAUUGUUUACAAUACAUGGAUAAGCUGGGUAAUUAGUUAAAGACCUGUAGACCAAAAAUGGAUUUAUGUAUUCAUCUUAUCUCCACAUUAUAUGUUGAUGCUUUCAUUUCUACUCAUCCUUUAGUUUCUUCUCAAUGCAAAUGCCAUCUGGAUAGGUGGAACAACAUUUCCAAUGUGCUAUGCUUGUGUUGGAUGUUAUCAGCAAUCUUGCAGCCAUCCGAAAAACCCUACGUGACGAGGAAGUAAGAUUAAUUUAAAAGUAUAAUCACAAGUGAUGCAAAUAAUAACAAAAUCUAAACAAUUAAGAAGUUUUACAGUCAAACUUCUAAGAAUGGAGAUUUGUUCAUUGGUUUUAAAAUUCAUUUUGCAUAUUCUAAUUUUUCAUUUAAAUAAUUGCACGAAUUUGGGUCCAGUGCUGAUCACAAUCUUGUAAGAAGAUACGCACAAAUCUUAGCUCAGCACUAAAUCCAACUCUCAAUUGCAAAUAUCAAAAUAGCAAUAAGACUUACUCGAGAUCAAUCGCACAUUCACGAGCUUUCACCGAUUGUAUCUCUAACUGUUAUUGCACGGAAAGGAGUGCCAUUUGGUAACUUGGCCUUAAGCUCAGGACCGGCAAAGACGUGCAUUGGUUCUGGCCAUUCCGGCAUUGUUUCCUCAGGUCAGGCUGCCCAUACGAAUGCUUCUUUACGACAUGGAAACAGAUCGUAUGCUGCUGCUUCCAAUGCAUCGGACCUCACCUAUAAUAACAACAAUAAAUAGAUGAAUAAUCUAAUCGGAGGUGAUUGUAUAUAUACUGACAAUAGGUUUGUUUUAACUAUGACAAAAUUACUCAACUAAUUCCCAAAUUAAGGCUCAAUUCAGGACUGGUUCGGCAAUUAAAAAGUGUUUUGUAAGGACUUUCAAUUAUGAUUUGGAAGUUAAAGAUAAUUUUACUCAACAAUUGUUUGAUGAAAUUGUAUUAGAUCUUGGCCAGGACUUGACCGAGUGUUUUCAAUCAACUUUCUUUGCACCACCUCACAACUUACUAUUUUUUCAAAUAUAUUUACUUUAAAAAUCAGGGCAUCUUGAUAGGCACCCCUCUAUGUUAAGGUUAAAUGAAUAUCGGUGGGUGAGGUUUAUAAUAAUAGACAGCAAUAACAUACCACAACGUCUUUAUGGACAUGCAAUCCAUCGGUCGUAGCAGAACUAGCUGACAGCGCCUGCAGGGCACAUGCAAUUAUAAUUUGAUCAGUGUUCACGAAGCUCAAGCAGUGUAAAUAACAGAUCAUGGCUUAAUUAAGUAAUUACCUGAAGGUGAUUAAAUAAUUGAGAAUGAAAUUAUAUUAUUAAGCAAAGACAUAAGCUAUUAUAUUAUUAAGCAAAGACAUAAGCUAAAUUACCCCAUUUAUCUGUUUGAAAUCUCGUCUUGAGAGCAAAUGCCGGCACUGACGAGGCUUGCUCAAUUUCGACCUGCAUGGCUGCAUGUCUGAUAAGAGUGGAAACAUAGUGCCUUUAGCGAAAUCGUAGAAUGUUAAAUCUGAUGCUACUGAAUAUGGAGAGUGAUUCAUAUACACGGUCUUCAUGAAUAUAUAGUUGUUAAUUACAGGAGAAGUUGCAAUAUGAAGUUAAUUUGAAAUUUAUAUUUCUCACCUCGAAUAAUUUCUGGUAAAUCGCUGAUUCGAUAAGGUUAAACUUUCUUUAUGAUCAUCAUCUUCUUCUUGGUCUUCGCCUUCCGAUAUUCCUAUUUCUGAUGUUUCUCCACAUUUUCUUCCUCUUUUAACAACUUUCGUUGAAGAUUUUGACAGACAUAUCAUUGUGAGAAGAGUAUUUCUAAAGUUUACAACUUGGAAAUGAGACCUUAUGUGAUAUGUACAUGAAGGAUAGAGUACCUAUCAGUAUUUAUAAGAAACAAUGUGAUGGUUUUAAAGAGACUAGUGGUGGUUUUAAAGAAACUAAAUAAAGUUUAUUAUUUAAUAAAAAGUCAAAUACAAAUUCCGAAGAAUCCUCUGUAUAAUCAACAGGAUCUGGAAAACGGAGGCACAUGCAUGGCAAUAUCUUUACUUUGUGAGACUGGAUUAUUUUUAUAGAUUUUUAUCCAAAGAAACUAAAUAAAGUUUAUUAUUUAAUAAAAAGUCAAAUACAAAUCCCGAAGAAUCUGCUGUAUAAUCUGACAAGAUCUAGAAAACUGAAGCACAUGCAUAGCAAUAUCACUACUUUGUACGACUGGAUUAUUUUUAUAAUUUUUUAUCCAAAGAAACUAAAUAAAGUUUAUUAUUUAAUAAAAAGUCAAAUACAAAUCCCGAAAAAUACGUUGUAUAAUCAGACAAAAUCUAGAAAACUGAGGCACAUGCAUGGCAAUAUCAUUACUUUGUACGACUAGAUUAUUUUUAUAAAUUUUUAUCCAAAGAAACUAAAUAAAGUUUAUUAUUUAAAAAAAGUCAAAUACAAAUCCCGAAAAAAUCCGCUGUAUAAUCUGACAGAAUCUGAAAAACGAAGGCACAUGUAUGGCAAUAUCAUUACUUUGUAUGAGUGGAUUAUUUUUACAACUUUUUAUCCAAAGAAAUUAAAUAAAGUUUAUUAUUUAGUAAAAAGUCAAAUACAAAUCUCGAAGAAUCCGCUGUAUAAUCUGACAAAAUCUGGAAAACAAAGGCACAUGUAUGGCAAUAUCAUUAUUUUGUAUGACUGGAUUAUGUUUACAAAGUUUUAUCCAAUCCCUUGUUUGAUGCCAGUAAAUCAAUAUUUAAAUAUAUAGUUAUUUUGUUAUGUUAUUUGAUUUUAACUAUUAAUGUCAAUAUUGGAAUAUAUAUUUAUAUUGAACUAAUAAAAUAACUGUAUAAAAAUAUUUGAAUAAACUUAAUUAUGAAUUUUGAAUUCAUGAUGUAAGGUAGCGUUUGUUUUUAAAUCUGAAAUAUUAGUAAGUCUGACUUUAGCUAAAAUCUGAAUAGAUUUGAAUUGCAUAUGUCUAAAUGGCAUGUUUUUUUUUCUCUUUUUUGAUGUCUGAAUAUAAGUGACAUCUUUUUUUUAUAAAUAAAAAAAACUGAAAUAUGAUUAUUUAACAUUUAUGUCCUUGUAAGAAUUAUUUAUACUUAUUAUAAAUUUUAAGAUUUAACUAUGUGCACGUUACAAUUAAAAUCAAAGAUAUGUAGAAUUGAGUAAUUGAUCUUUAAAUAAAAAUAUUAUUAUAUUACUCCAAAUACAAAAUUGAAUCAAACUUAUUAUACUUUAAAAUUUAAAUUUAAUUUUAUAAUUUACAUCAUCUUUUUUACCAUUUAAGAUUGUAAAAGCCCAUUCGCCCAAACCUAGUCUUAAUUAGCUGUAUAUAAGUGUAAAGGCCCAUAUGUUCUUAAGAAGUGUUAAGAGUUUUCAUAGACCCAUAAGUGAAUGGAUAUGUGUAAUGCCCUCAAAUUCAAGCCAGAGUUAUAACUGUUGGCAGAUCUGUGUAAUCCUUUUAAAACCGUUCUCUAAUUAUAUUAAAAGACAAAAUAAAUCUAAUUAAAUUCUUAUAUUUCUCUCUCUAUAAGUUUCUUUUUUUAAUGAGAAAAAGACAUCUACACCCCUAAGGUUUGGAAAAAUGAUCAUCAACACCCCUAUGUUUUCAAAGGUGGACACCAAGACUCCCUUUGAUGAUUAUACUCUUUAUCUCUAUUAUUUCAAAAGAAUUAACUCUAAUAUUUUACAAUAAAUAGAAAUAUGAUAUUAAAAUAAAUGUAAUAAUACAUACAUUUUAAAAUAAUUUCAAUUUUUAAACAAUAUUUUAAUAUUUUAUAAUUUAUUAGAUAUAUUUUACUAUAUUAAAGUAAAUUUUAUGAUAAAUAGAAUCAUAAUAUUAAAAUAAAUGUAUUAAAAAUUUAAAUUAUAUUGAAUAUUAUGUAAAAUAAUAAUUUUAACAAUAUUAGUAUGUGAGAAUGUUUUUAAUUGUAGAACGUAUUUAAUGCAAAUAUUUAUUUAAAAUCUCUACAAUAAAAAAUAUAUUAUUAAAAUAAAUAUGAUAAAUUACAUAUUGAAAUAUUAAAUAUUUUAAUAUUUCUAGUCUACUACAUAGAUUAUACUAUUUAUAUGGUAUUUGUAUUUGCUAAAAAUUUUAAAGUCAAUUUUUUAGAAGAAUAGAGAUAAGGGAUAUAAUGGCCAAAAGAAGGUCAUGGUGUCCCUCCUUGAAAACUUAGGGGUGUUGGUGACCAUUUCCCCAAAUCUUGGGGGUGUAGAUGUUCUUUUUCCUUUUCGAAUUCAUUACCCCCACACAACUACACCAAACAACCAAAAUUUUGUGGGAUCUGUAGUUCAGGCAGAAGCGGCCGGCCGAAUGCUUCCAGCAACUCAGGCAGAUAGAACCUUGGUUGAUUUGUUUUUCUUCAUCUGAAAUUCUACCUAAUGGCUAUCCUUUUAAUUGGUUUAAAUUCUUCUUUUUUCUUUGAGUUGUUGAUUUAUAGUGCCUUACAUGCAAAAUUCAAAAUUUCGGAUGAUGAUAAUCUUGUUUUAGAAGAGAUUUCUAGUUAUGCUAGCAGCAUUCUUGAUCGUGGCAUCACAAGCACAUGCUCUGGUUUGCUUAGUUUGCCUUUUGUCUCUGAUAUUUUCUUGGCAUUGUGGGAUAUUGUUUCUUUUUUUUUUUUUUUUUGUUAUAGGAUUCGGAGAUAUUGUAUAUGUAUGACGAUGAUAUAAUAAUGUGCUUUUGAUAAAUUCACCUGGUCGGUUUACUUCACCAACCAUUAAUGAGCAAAUCCUCCCAGUGACCCUCAAACUCUUCAACACAAUUAUAAUAAUUUCAGUUUUAUAUAUACAAAAGUGAACAGCUCUUAAAUAUAUUAUUUGAUAAUGACAAACACAACAACUCACUCCAAUAAAUCUCGUAAUAAAGAAAUGGUCUAUAUUGCAAGUCUUUUUAGGACGCAUUCAAAAAGAAAACAUAAGGAAUGGCGUUGCAAGAAUAUGGAAUCAGAAUAACAGUGAUACAAAGAGAAAAAAAGGGGAUGGUCGGAUUGCUUUGUUUGCAAAAUUAUUGAUGCGGGGGUCUACUUGCUUUUAAUUCACUUUAUUAAUUAAUUAGCGAACCAAACAUGUAAUCAUUUAAAAAAGGAUCACUGGCCCUAGCUUACAAAAGAUGAAUUUGUAAGACAUAUUAGUUUUGAUGAAAAUGUAGUGUUAUUAAGUUAUGAAUUCAUUAACUUAGAGGUAUUAAUAUUUACUAAUGAUGGUGAUUAAUUUAUUUAACUUGUCAUAGUCUUCAAUUAACAAUGAAGUGAAAUCAAUUUAUGGAAAAAAAAUAAUAAGUUUUUUACUAAUAAGUUUUUUACUUUUUAAGAUUUCAUUUUGCUCUUUUUCAAUUAUUGACGUUGUCGAAGAGGGUAAUAAAAGCUUGUUGAAUUUCAUCAAAGGCUUGUAUCUCAUCUCACAAAUUGGCAAUAUCGAUUGGCUUCUUUAUAGGUGAAGCCAUCACGAAUUUAUCACUUCUUUCAUAUUGAUACCCAUAAAUUUCAACCUUAUUUUAUCUUUGAUGCACAAUCUAACUUAACAAAAAUAGUAUUCAAAUUGUCACAAAAUGUUUUUUUUUUUAAAAAAAUCAUAUACAAUAGUUAAUUUUUCUUCUUCUUUUAAAAAAAAAAUCAUAUACAAUAGUUAAUUUUUCUUCUUCAAGUUUUGUAUGAAACACUAAUCUUGCUCUGUACUUUGGAGUAUUUUAAUAAUUGAUGUUAAGAUUUGCUAAUGUAAUUAUAGUGAAAGAGAACCAAUUUGGAAAAGUGAAUACUUAGUAGUGGGAGUUCUAUCCUUUGGGGUUUAAUUAAUGUUUGAUGUUGUUUCUGUUGGCCUCAGCUAGUUGUUAAGAUUUCAUACCUUUUGUUGGUUUUUCAUAACUGUGACCUAAAGCUUAAUGUAUACUUUGAUAAUUACAUAAUCGGUUUCUUGCUGAUACUUGGCUUUAAUUUAUAAACCUGAGGCUCUUUUGGGAGUUGGGAAGAUUUACGAAAGAGGAGUUUCUGAUUAUCUGGUUUGUUCUCUUUAUGCCUACAGAAGUUGAAUUCACUCUAUGCAUGAAUUUAUGAUUCUUUUAGAAAGAUUUUAUUCUUGAGAAAGAUUUGAUGAAAUUGAAGCAUUAUAGUAAAGCGUACCACUGGUAAGCUUGAUUCACUUUUUUUCAUUUACUACCAAGAGGUGCCAACAGUUCAUGAUGCACAAAAAGAGGUGGGGAAAAAAAGAAAUCUUCUUGCUAGAUACAUAAAUUUAAUAUUUGAAUCAUUUUCAACCAAAGAAAUGUGCUGAAGAGCACCAUUUUCGUUUAUAUCAAAGUUCAAUUGCAUCUUAUAUCAUCUGUUUCCAUCUCCUUUGUGGUAAAUAAAGUCCUUGGUGAUGACAAUAAGAAUCACAGAAGAAGUUAAUUUCUUAUCUGGAGAUUUUCAUCAUAGUAGUUCAUUGAAAGUGAAGGCAGCUGAGUACUCCUUUUUCUGAUGCAGUCUGUCCCUCUUUGGUGUGAUUAUUUGAAAUUUGCGCAAGAAUAUGAUCCAUCUAUACGAGAAUGUGCCUAAUAAAAUAUCACAAAGGUGCCUAAUACAGUGAAAUUAACAUAUUCAGCUCAUGAGAUUGCCAUUAUAUAUAUUGAAAAAGAAAUUAAUAUAAGAAACUGAAAUUAAUUGACACUGGUUCAUGAUGGAUUGUUAGUUGUUAAUUAUGAUGGGAAUAUAAUCUUGGUCUUUUAAUUAUCAUCUAGCUAAUGCAUGUGCACUUUCAUUUGUGUCUAUCACUGAAGAAUAAAGUUGCUUGAUUGAACAUCAUAUGACAGAAACUCAAAACGCAAUUUCAUUGCCCGAGCAUACCAUGCCAUAUGUGGCUCAAAAGUACAAUUAACAUUGAACGUUCAGCUAGCUAGCUCGUACUAAUUAAUUUAUAGGAUUGCUAGUUCUUUAUGAUUCACUAAAAGAGAAAAUAUUUGACAAUCACGAGAACAAUAACAAUUCACUCCCAUAAACAACAUAAUAGAUACAUGGUCUAUAUUGCAAGUCUUUUUAUGAUUUUAAUUAAAAGAGAAAAUGCAACGGACAUAUUAUAUAUAAUUGAAUGUUCUCCUUGAUAAUUAGUCAAAAUAACGCCAAUAUGAAUAACUAAUACAAUCAUCAUAAUUAUCCGAUUUUCAUUUUAAUUAUGUCCAACCAUGCUAAUUUAAUAAAGAACACUGACCGAAUACAUGAGCAUUUAUAUGUUCAACAAAUUUGGCUGAGUAUGAAAAAUAUAAGAGCUACAUUUAUGCUUUGUGUUAUUAAGUAGGACAUGACCAUAUUAUGUUGCAUUUGUCAGAAAACUGAAAAUUAUCGAAAAGGAUCCUAAAAGAGAUGUGUUGAGUUGUGAGCUUAAAAAUGAGUUUUAGAAGUUCCUGACAUGUCGGUGUGUAUCCUUGAUUGUGCAUGCCCUGUCGGUUUCUGGAUGAAACAGAAGAAUAUGACAUGUGUGUAUUGUCUUUUACUUCCAGCAAGCACGUGAUUUAAGUGAAUCACAUGUUCUUCACGUGAUUUGACAUACUUUAUACGGAUUUAGCAGUUGUUUUGGUCACUUAUUGAAGCACGAGUUAAGCACGUGAUUCAAGGUUGUUAACUGACCGUUAUAAGGUGGAAAAUUCUGGGUUUCUUACAACAAACCCAGAGGGCAUCUGGUGAGUGGAAGCUGUUUCUAGAUUCUUCAUGAUCUGUAUAUAUAACACAAAACUACAUGCAUGUCAAUUGCUUUAUGUUAAUAUUGUUACUAAUGAGGCAGCUAGUAAUCCCUUUGGUGUAAAUAAUUAACUUUCAUAUGCACAAUAUUUAAAAUAAUCACCAAACAACAAUUCACAAGUUACAUUACACAUAAACAAAAUAAAACUAAUCUAGCAAAUUCAAUCAUAAUAAUUUGAUUUUCAUUUAUAUUAAUUAUUUCCAAUCAUGCUAUUUUUUUUUUAAAAAGAACACUCCAGUGUUUAUAUAUCCAACAGGUAAAAUUUCAAAACAAUAUUUGCUAAAGUCUGAUGAAGAGAAUAUACACGCACACACAUAUAUAUAACCGUACAGCAGAAUGAUAAAUAAAAGAAAAUGAAGUUUCAACAGCUGAAUAAUGCAUUUUAUUGUUUAAUUAAAAAAUUCGAAAACCCAUUGGCCAUAUAUACAUGAUAAAGACUCACUGAAGCCGAGCCAUAUUAAUUUAAAUUAAUUUUCAAUUGAGAUUUAAAUUUUGAAAUUACAUACACAAACACGCCCAAUUUAAAAAAAAAAAUAGUAAUUAUAAAAUAUUUCAGUCAUUUAUUACAACAUAAGGUAUAUGGGUUAACAAGUCCCAAUAUUGUCCUCCAUCCUUUCUGCACUUCUCUGUUAUCAACGGACAACUCCAGAUCUGUAAUUGCAAAAGUGAGGAAGGCAGGCCCUUCUCCGGAAAGUAUUUGAGCUUGGGACAUCCCCAGAGAACCAAUUCAAUGAGGUUUUGAAGAUCAACAAUUGAAGAAGAUAGGCGUUCCAGAUUUGGAAAAUCUUCAAUCCACAGAGAUGUUAGAGAGGCAGGAAGAGGAAGCGCGGUCCCUAAUCUUUUGUCCUCUAGUGGAAAUGACACCAUGUCUUCAUCGCAUCCACUGAUUAAAAGAUAUCGCAGAGAGGAGAAUCUGUGAAAUCCCCGUCCCCGCUCAAUCAUCGACUUCCAAAUCUCCAUAUUACCCCAAAUAUUAAGUGACUGAAGGUUGGUGGGAAGGCCAUCUUCUUCUUCAAGGCUUGGAAGCGCACCUCCUAUUGUUAAGUAUUGAAGAGAACUCAGUUUGUGCAAUCCCUUGGGUAAGGCCUCUAGUCUCUUACAAUUAGAUAUCUCCAGCCUCCUGAGUUUCGCACAAGGCAAUCCCCCUUCGGGAAAGGACACCAGAUUUCCACAACUCUGUAUAGUAAUCCCUCGAAACUGCUGGAGAUUAUGUAAACCACUCGGUAAAAUUUUGAGAUUUUCACAAUAAGAAAUGUAGAUAUCUUCAAGAGAUGUGUUGUUGUCCAACCUUUCUGCUAUUGACUCCAGCUUUGAACAUCCACAAACACGAAGGGACUUAAGAGACGGAGGUAGAUUGCCAACUUCAAGGGACUCAAGCGUGGCAGGUAACUCGUUUUUUGAAAAUAUACAUGUCAGUGAUGGACAAUCCCUAAUUUCCAACUCCUCGAGAAGAGAUGAGGUGUACCUUCUGCCGCUGCUACACUGGAUGCCCUCUUCCACUGUCAAAGUCCUUAUAUUAUCGCAACGGCUGAUCUGCAACUUCUUAAGGCUCGAUGGUAGCUGGACCGCAGCAAUAUAUGUCAACGAACGACAAUGCUCAAUAUUCAAGAUCUCGAGAGACGAAUUGGUGUCGCACAUCCAUGCCUCUGGUAACGAUUUCAGCACAUCACAAUACCUAAUCUCAAUUUUCCUCAACUUGGAAGGUAGAGCAACCUCAGGAAAGGAAACAAGGGAACUGCAGUUGUAGAUUUCUAUCUCUCUCAAGGAACAGAGGCUGAGCGAUGAUUGUGGCAGCUUCACAAGGCCUUCGCAUUCGCUCAAUCUUAGAUAUUCGAGUCUGCAUGACAACUCACAGAGCUGCUGUUGUUGGUCUUUCUCUUCCUCCGCGACCAAGGAUUGAAUUUUGGGACAGCUGUCAAUCGUCAGUCUUUUGAGAGAGCAAAUGUCUUGCAGUAAUUCGUUAUGACUCUUCCAUAUAUGUGUUUCAAUUUUAAUAUUAUUUAUCUCCAAUUCUUCCAGUUUUGGUAUUCGCGGCUUCAAUGGCCCUGCGAGAAACACUUGAUUUGAUGUAUCUCUACAAACCAUUGAAUUCUGUGACCCGAUAUGAUCAGUUGCACUUCUCCGCACAACCUUUUUACAUCCACCAAUUACCAAUUUGCAAAGAGCUGGAAGACUCGUAAUUGAAAUUGACAAUUCUUUGCAUUCUUGGAUAACAAGCAUCUGCAAUGCAGGAAGGUGCUCUGGAAAUGUUCCUUGCAGUUUAGAACAUCUUAAAAUGUGAAGCUCUCUCAAUUUAGGAAACCGUUCAACUCCCUGACUGGAUCCAUGAGGAAUCCAGUCUUCCCACUCUUGCAGGUCUUCAAAACGAAGAGUCUCCAAGCAUGGAAAUGGAAUUGGAGAGUCAUCCCCAUAGAACUCUACACCCAAUCUCUUUACUCUACUCAUUCCACGCACUGUAAGAUGUUUUAGAGAGGGCAGUUGCCCAACAGACGGCAGGGCAGUACACAUGCUGCAAUCUUCAAAUUUAAGUGUUACUAAAUUUGAGAAUGAGGAAUCUCCUAACCAUGUUGGAAAUUUUGUACCUCCAUAGCCACAGACACAAAAUUGUUCCAGAUUUUUAUGGGGUUUAAGCAUGUCAAGCAUGCCCAUUUCAGUUUCUGCUUCCCUUGAGGAUGAACCAUCGGUGCUGCAAGUCCAAUUAAGCGAUAAUUCUUUAAGAUUCUUCUUUCCAUCCAACCGAGCCUCCUUUGCAUCACCAAUGUCUUUUACAUUCUCUAACUUUGAAAUUUUAAGUGUCCCCUGAAGACGUAUCAAUGACUUUAGCUCUCGUAACCCAGAACCAUUGUCUUUUCCCACAGCAAAAUUACCCAACGUCUGAAGACGAGUCAGCUUACCAAUUCCUAGUGGCAUUUCCUCCAAGGAAUCUGUAUUUGAAUUAUUGAGAUGAUGCAAUUUGAUGAGGUUUCCCAUGGCUGCACACAACUUCUUCAGUCGCCGACAGUCUUUUAACAGAAGUAUGUGCAAAUUGUAAAGCUUGUUAACUGAUUCAGGCAAAGUUUUAAUCUCAGUUCCAGACAGGUUAAGGUACCUUAAAUACCUCCAAUCACCAAUUGAAUCUGGUAGCUCCGAGAUGUCGUAUCCACGCAAAGAGAAGACCCUCAAGCGUUGGAGUUUGAAUAACCUAGGAAGAAUGCUACGAGCCAAGUAUCCAGGCCAGCUACUUAACAACGUUACUGGUAAAAGAGUUCGCAAGUGUUGGAUAUCGUACAAGUCCUCAAACCUUUUAACACCAUCGUAAUCUCCACGAAUGUACGACAAAUGACGAAGAUUUCUUGAAAAACUUCGUUGCUUGUUAACCUCCGAGAUAUACUCCAUUCUGAAGUACAUUUCCCCAGCAGCCCAUUGAGCAAGGUCAUUGACGAGGUCGUGCAUCACAAAUCGUGAUAUACUGUUGCUCGAUUGCUGGAAAAAAGAUCUUCCACGUAGCUCUUGAAAGAACUUUCGACCGAGAUCUUCACCAGGAUUCCCACUCUCUCCGUGAUCCAAGAAACCCACAGCACUCCAUAAUAAAAUUAUCUCCCCCUCUUCAAAUUCAUAAUCCUUUGGAAACAAUGAGCAAUACGCAAAGCAUUGUUUCAAAGGUGCCGAAAGAUAAUAGUAGCUCACUCGAAGCGCUGGCAUAAUGUCACAUCUCUCUUCUUGCAAUUCCCAUAUCUUGGUACUGAGCACUCUCUCCCAAUCACAUCUGUCAUCUUUUCCUCGCAAAAGUCCUCCAAGUGUUUGCGCUGCCAGGGGCAAGCCAUCGCAUUUGGCCACUAUCUUCUUGCCAAUUUCCUCCAAUAACUUAUUUGACCCCAAAGAAUGUUGAGCAAAUACAGCUAGACAAUCAUCAAUUGACAACUUUUUUAAUUGAUAAGCUGAGGCAGUUCCCAUGAUGUCUCCAACCUCUUGAUUACGAGUUGUGACAAUAAUCUUACUUCCCUUCGCUCCAGCUUCAAACGGACGGCUGAGGCGAACCCAAUCAUUGUAAUUCUCAUUCCAAACGUCGUCUAAAACAAGCAAAAAUUUCUUUUGAGAUAACUUCUUCUUCAGCUCCUCUUGAAGCAAAUUUAAAUCACUGUCAUCAAUAGUCUGCUUGGUAACGGAUCUUAGAAUUGUUUUUGUUAGCCCCUUAACGCCGAAAUCCUCAGAGACACAAGUCCAUGCCUUGAGAUCAAAAUGAUCCUGCACUCGCUUAUCAUUGUAGACAAGCUGAGCAAGAGUAGUUUUGCCCAGCCCGCCCAUACCUAUAAUAGGAAUAACAGAGAAUCCACCAUCGUUGCUUAAAUCAUCCCUCAACAGCAGUUCAACAACAUCCUUCUUUUCUGUUUCCCUGCCAUAUACUUUGGCUUCAAUCACUAAAGAGGUUGUCUCUAGCCUUUGACUUGCUUUUUUGGACCCUCCAGCUGAACUUUCUUUCAAAUCUAGCAAGUCUUUCUGUGUUACAAUAUCUUGAAAUCUGUUGUUGAUCUCUUUGAUUUUGGACAUCAAGGCAUAAUCGAACUGAAUCGAUUGUGGAGUAAAAGUGGUGCAGCAAGUAGGAAUGAGCUUCCGAAACUUACUUGUUCUUGUGCGACAGCGACUGGGUUGAUCCUGAGCCGCAGCUGGAUCUCCAUUUCCAAGCAGCAACUUCCUCCGGAAAGCCUCAGUUUGAAAAUCAUCCAACAAGUCUUCAACAUCAUAAGCCAAGUUCUGAAGCUCGCCAAGCCACUUCUUCACAGACUGAUUAGUCGUCUUCUUCUCCUCAGCAUCAUCAAGCACCGCCUUGAUCAUCUCCAACAUAUUCGCCCACUUCUUCAGAUUGGCCCGAAUUUGCUGUUGGCGUGCAAACAACCGAAUGCCCUCUGAAGCUAACUUAUUGACCAGCAAAUCAACGGACGCCCUAAGGAUUGCCUCUCCGAUGAUUGACAUUUUUUUUUCUUUUUUGCCUUUUUCCUUUUUGUUUUGCAAAGAAAGAAACAGAAUUUUGAGUUUUGAAAGGCAAAAUGAGAAAAUUGAAUAGAAAGUGUGAAGGGUCAAGCAAAAUGUGCGUACCAAGUCACCAGUCACCACCCAUUAAUAAUUUAGCAAUUCACCAAUCACCAGUCACCACCAGUUGAUAUUUGUAGGGCCAAGCAAUAUUAAUCCAGUAAUGCUGAAUGAAGAGGAAGGUGGAAUGUAUCUGCUACGAACCUUCGCUUUACAAGUCUUCAAAGUCAUAACAAACCAAGUUAAAUCAAAACGUCUCUCCCUGGGUGUUCAAAGUCAUAUAAUUACUUUAUUUAUUGAUUUAAUUUUAAUGCUAAAACGAAGACUUAAAAGUACGCUGCAAUGUUUUAUAAUGUUAUAUUAAUGUCGUGUUAAAAUAAAUUAUAACAAAGUUUUAGCCGACAAUAAUAAAUUCUAUUUAUUUAUUAAAUAUAUAUUUAAUAAAAUAAUAACACAAUUAAUAUGUUAUCAAUCAAAUAAAAACUCUAAUGUGAAAACAAAAUCGGCCCCCACCACCAUCAAUAAUUUAGCAAGCUUCACUUUAUUACACUAAUGAAAACAAAAACAGCCGCUACCACCUUUAUGUGUUGCUUCCUACUUAGUACAUCUAUUGAUACGCACAUCUACCUAACAUUUAGAAAAUGGAAGUAGAAAUUGGAACUCACUUUAUGGCUCGUAUGCAAUACACGUAUCAACAUUUAAUUAGAGUUCACACACACACACACGUGUGUGUGAGUCUAGUUUUAAUUGAGAGAUAAAUUAAACAUAAAUACUUAGAUGUUUCUAAAUGAUUGAAUAAUGAUAUUAUUGGUAUUUAUAAAUUUCUAAGAAGCGAUAAUUAUGUGGGGGACAUAUAUUUAUGGUUAUAGAAAAUGACGGUAAAAAUGGUACAAAUCUAAUAUAAUAAAAAGGUAUAAACUGAAGUAAAUUAAUGUUUACUUUAAAGUACGUUAUAAAUAUCGCUUUCCUUAAUACGUUAUUUUCUCUCACCAAUUGAGUUAUGCAUAUGGAUUAAGCAAAUAUGCAUCUAGGAUACAAUAAAGCGCUGAUUUGUUUGUUUACGUUGUACAUCAAUGAAAGCAAACAUGAAUAUUCUUGAAUAUUAUAAGCCUACCGAGAAUUAAUAUAUUAUUCUUACAAAAAAAUAAUAUGUUGGAUAUUUGAUGCAUAAAAAAUAAAUGUUAAUUGAUGAAAUUCUUUUGAAGAAAGAGGACUACAAAAAAAUGGUGUAGGAUCAUUUUAUUCAUGUCUAAUUGACAUUUAUUUUUAUGAAUGUGAGGGUAUUUUGGUAAUUUUAUGGACACAAGAGUCGUGUGUUGUGGAUAGAUGUUCGUUUUAAACUACAUUGCGUGCAGUUAGUCGUAUUUCACAUUUAUGAAAAGUAACUAUGUUGUUUCCUUGAUUAAGAGAAAUUGCGAGUGAGAACCAAACCGCAAAUAUGAACGAAAGUCAAGUUUAGGCAUUGUCACUAUGAGUGAAAUAUGCAAACUCAUUUUCAUAUUUUAUUAUGAUUUUAGAGUGUAGUAAACCAUAUUUGCAAAAUAAGAUUUUAAUGCUCUAAUUUAAUGAUUUCUAGAAUAAAUUUGAUUUACGUAUUGGUACAUUAUUAAAAUUUUAUCAAUAUUUGUUUUCCCUAUCGAUUUUGAGUAAAGUAUGCAGGUACACCAAUCGACCGACCGAUUGUAGUUAUUUUGAAUUUUUGGCCACGUGCUGGCGCUAGGAGAAAUAGAUGGUAUUAUGCAUGUUGAUCAUCUCAUUUUGGAAUGUAUAAUAUAUUGUAUUAUGAUGUGAUGAUUAUAGAUGUUUAAUAUAUGUUGAAAUCAGAUAUUAUAAUCUUUUGAUAUUGGAGAUGUUUGGGUGUUAUUUGGUAUUUUGGAUGAGAAGGUUGAUUGAUGGAACUGGUUAUAUAUUAAACUAUGUUAGGAGUGCUUGUAUAAAUUUACAAUUUUGGGAUUGUUAUAUUUAUAAGGGAAAUAACUGCCGAAUUUUUGGUAGAAUCAUUACUAAUUAAAUUAUUAUCAGUCAAGAUAGACAAUAUAAGAUAGACCCUCAUGCAGUUCGAGGCGAGUCGUCUCAAAUCAAGCCCUUUAUAAAGCUCACUCACCCCUUGUUAGCUCUCACUCGUUACAAGCAUCUAUCUAUCAAUAUAUCAAUCAAUGCUUACAUUUUCUUUCCUCUUAUACAUCAAAAUGAAGUUCACCUUGGCAACAUUGCUGUGGCAUUAUUAUUGUCAAUAGUAUAGAACGUUUACAAUUAUCAACUUCUGGUUGACCAAAAUUGUAGCGACGUUCCAUUCGGAGCCAACUGUGUUGCCUCAGUUAGCGCGAAGCUCUCUUUAAAACCCGAUGUUGAAAUUAAACCAAAAUGAAAUCCUCGGCGCAGCAAUAACUGUACUGAAGGAACGGGCUAUUCAAGCUAGGGAAGACUAUUCUAAUGCGCAUGAAAUUAGCAGAGACAGCGAUGAGCAGAGCGUGCUCAUGCCUUCCAUCUACAAAUGCACACUUGCUGAUCCUUUUAUUAGGAAGCUCUGCAAAUUGUUGGAGUAUUAUAUGUCCAUGAACCACCAAAUACCUUUCAAAUUCUGUGGGAUUGGAAGAAAUAUAAGCAGGAUUAGUCUUACUGAACUCGACUCUGAUUGUUCAACAUUGUAAUGAGGGCAAUAGCAAGCCUCGCAGUUUUUAGAACUGGUUUGUACCAAGCUGUAUACUGCUUUGAUGGCCUUCCAAGCCUAUACCUGAAAACAAAAUCGCAAAUUUGAUAAGAACUAACACUGACAGAAGAUAAAGAGUACAAAAAGGCAAGCUUAAGCACUAGUACCACCACCAAACCUCUUGAUAGUAUAUGGAUGUAGAUGCAUACCAGGAAAUAUCUGUCCGAACUGAUAUGGAAACGAACGAGUAUCCAAAUUCGAUCAUCCAUUCCUGUAUUGCACUCAGAUAUACUGGUAUUCCCCCAACAUUCUCUGCCACAGAUGAAGACUGAUCAAAAUUAGCAUCAGCACAUAAUCCACUUGAAUCACCAGUUGUCAUAAUCCCGGACCCAAAGAUGGUAAUAUCAUUAUCAUCACACGGUUUCAUUGGGAGGAGCUCCAAAGAAAUCAACCGCGAAUCUGAGUUGUAAAGUGACCAAUUGUGAAGCACUCUUCGAGGAAGCUCAUCAGGAUUAAUUGAAUCAAAGAUUAAAUACUCAUCAUUUUCCUCCUCGCAGGCAGAGGAUAGUCAUCAACAAUUUCAUCCUCAUUGAUUUUACUGCAGAACUUGCUUGAUGAAGCAACUCUCCUCUGAGUUUUAUUAUGUUUCGUUGAUUGCCAAUUCUCCUCUUCCUGCAACAGCCUUGACAAUUUCAUAUCUUUAUCUUCUUCGCCUCCAGAAGCAGAUGAACUAGACUGAUAGUUUUGCUCUUCUUCACCAAUUCUCAUACCUGUAUUUAUGAGACUGCUGGAUGUACUGGUUUCCAGAAUAAUUGAACUCCCUUGCUUCUUAGUUUCAUCCAUCAGUGCAAGGAGCAGAGGCAAGUUCUCAAAGAUCUGAUCAUUUUUCUUGGAUGUCUCAUCUAAACCGAUGAGUUGAUUAUAUAUGAAUCCACCCUGUGAGAUUAUAAAUUCCCUCGUUGAUGUCCUGUGAGGAAAAUUCUUGCUAUCACUCCUGGAACAAAAAACUCCUGCAAGCAAUUCAUCGACAGUCUGAUCAGGGUUCCCUCCACAAGUCCUUGAAAGUUUUUUAUAGACCUCCACAGAGGCACGAGCCUUUUCAUAGAAAAGGUUAUAUAGCAUUUUAUAACUAUUAGCAGGUUUAACACAAUCAUAGUCUGCAGUGACAGUUGAAAUCUAAAAUACCGGUGAGCCUUCCUCAUAUCCAGAUAUUGCCCAAGAUUCAACUCGUCCGAUAUCUUCACAUCUAACACCUCUUUCUUUCUGUCUUCCACAACAUUUUUCAAGAGGCAAUAUAAGACCUGAAACGAACAAGUUUCCAACUUCCAACAUUUCAACAGACUUUAGGUUUCCACAAGCAUCAUGAAAGGCAAAGUCUGUUAGCCUUCGAUUCGGUCGAAUGUCAUCCUUCCCAGCAGUCAAGUAUAUAGCAGCCUUCUCAUCUUUCACAACAUCUUCCCAUCUGUUUUCAACAAGAGAUGCCUUUCGGGACAAGCGAAGAGAUUUCUCUUUAAAAUCUGAACAUGCAGCAGCUCUCUUUGGCACCAACUCAGCUUGUGAUUCUCAUGGGGCUGUUUAUAUCUUUGGGGUAUGCAUGAUUUCCAAAACUAUCAACUUUGAAUUAUAUGUUUCAUAAUUUAGUUGUUGCUUUCUUGAUGUUGUAUGCUUAUUUAUUUAUUUAUUUAUUGUUCAUUUGUUAUUUCAUGGUUAUUUUUGGUUAGUUCUAGUAUUUUGAUAAAUUCGCCUGGUCGGUUUACUUCACCAACAAUCACCAAAACAACAACAAUUCACUCCCAUAAACAACAUAAUAGAUACAUGGUCUAUAUUGCAAGUCUUUUUAUGAUUUUAAUUAAAAGAGAAAAUGCAAAAGACCUAUUAUAUAUAAUUGAAUGUUCUCCUUGAUAAUUAGUCAAAAUAACACCAAUCUGGCUAACUAAUACAGUCAUCAUAAUUAUCUGAUUUUCAUUUUAAUUAUGUCCAAUCAUGCUAAUUUAAUAAAGAACACUGAAUAUAUGAUUAUUUAUAUGUUCACAACUUUGGCCGAGUAUGAAAAAUAUAAGAGCUGCAUUUAUGCUUUGUGUUAUUAAGUAGGACAUGACCAUAUUAUGUUGCAUUUGUCAGAAAACUAAAAAUUAUUGAUAAGGAUCUUAAAAGAGAUGUGUUGAAUUGUGAGCUUAAAAAUGAGUUUUAGAAGUUUCUGACAUGUCGGUUUGUAUCCUUGAUUGUGCAUGCCCUGUCUGUUUCUGGAUGAAACAAGAGAAUAUGACAUCUGUGUAUUGUCUUUUACUUCCAGUAAGUGAAUCACAUGUUCUUCACGUGAUUUGACAUGCUUUAUACGUAUUUAGCAGUUGUUUUGGUCACUUAUUGAAGCACGAGUUAAGCACGUGAUCCGAGGUUGUUAACCGACCGUUAUAAGGUAGGAAAAUUCUGGGUUUCUUACAACAAACCCAGAAGGCAGCUGGUGAGUGGGAGAUGUUUCUAGAUUCUUCAUGAUCUGUAUAUAUAGUCUUCGAGGCUAUAGCUGAGCCAUAUGAAAAGCUUGUAACUUCUUAAUGUUUGUAGCUUGUUCUUGGUAAUUGCUAUGACCAGGGAAGUGAGCUAAAAUGAUAUCAACUUUUAUUUAUGGGCAGGUUAAGAAAAUUUUUGAGUUUCUGAAAAAUGGCUUCCAUGGGAUCAGCAGUUCUUUGGAUUUAUCUUUCGAAUAUGAUUUGGUUGCUGAUGAGAAAAUUCCAUUCCUAGCUUAUCUUGUCAGUGUUCUAAAUGAGCAUUCCUUUUUCCCAUAUGAGCCACCAGCUGGAAGCAAAAGAUUCAGGAAUCUGAUUGCUGACUUCAUGAAAUGUACCACCAUAUUCCACUAAAUGCUGAUGUGAGAAAACCUUCACCACUCAUCUGUUUUUUUACUUCUCUGGACAAGUAAUUUUUGUAUUGUCUGUCCUAGAUUAUGUUUUCCCUGAUGCAUUAUUUCAAUUUCUUUGCACGUGAAGUCCUAGGAGCUGUUUCCCCUGAUGCAUUAUUUCAAUUUCUUUGCAUGUGAACUUGGAGCAUUCAUAUUAGUUAGGAGUGAAUCUAUUGGUCAUUUACUUGUUUGUAACAAAUAACGUAUGAAACAAUCUUGUUAUUUUUUAUUCUCAAUAUGUAGAGCUCUAUGGACCAAUUGCUUGUCUUCUGUUAUCCUCAUUAGAAUUUCUUCAUACUACUUCCACUUCAUGCUAUUUGUGAUAAGUUGUAAUUUUUUUGUGGUCUUUGUUAUGUCUGUUGGACAAAUACUGUAAUAUGAAAUUUUAUCUAAUGGUGUCCUUUAUUCCUUUUGCAACCUGUCCCCUCUAGUAGUUAAAUGUAUUUUUGGAUUUGCAGGCCCUUCUCCGGAAAGCGAGGAAGACUUAUUGAUUUCGAUGAAAAUGUAUCGAUAUUAAGCUAUUAUUUAAUUAAUUUACUCGAGGUAUUAAUAUUCACUAAUUGUGGUGCUGAUUAAUUUACUUAAGUUGUCAUUAUUUUUCAAUCAAGAAUGAUGUUCAAUCAAUUUAUAGGGAAAAAACAAAGAUACCUUUUCUUUUUUGUAGAUUUCAAAGAUUUCAAGUAAACACAGCAUCCAAGCUGUCAUCAAAUGCUUCUAUCUCAUCUCACAAAUUGGCUAUAUUUGUUUGGUUUCUUAAUAGGCGGCCAUCACGAAUUGAGAGUAACAACACAGACCAUCGAAAUUUAAUUUUAAGAAUCAUUUUUUACUUGAAAUCUUUGAAAAGAAAAAUUAACCAGAUUAUUAUAGAAAUAUACAUAAAUUAGGUACCAAUUUAAAAUGUGAGUAUGAUUUAAUAAGAGAGAACAAGAAUAUGAUUUAAUAAGAGAGAACAAGAAUUGAUCAUGUCUCAAAAAUGAGAAAAUUAGGUUAUACAAAUUUGCAUGCAGGCAUUUCAUAUGUUAAUCUUAACUUUUUGUUGCUGAAAAUUAAUUAAUUCCCACUACUUCCUUUUUUAAUUCUGUGGUGUGUACCACAUUCGCCACUUCCUUUUUUAUGUUGCAUAUUUGUUGAUUCAAAGAAAUAGUACUUUUGUAACCAUCAAACUUUAUUAAUAUUCUUCAUCAUUUUGGUUAAUGGCUUAACAAAUGUAGGAGAAGGAGUUAGCCAAAAUAAAUUACUUUCUCUUACAUUAACCUUUACUAAUUGCUGAAGUUUAAAAAAAAAAUUAAAACAAGUUAAAACAGUUCCAACUCAAAAUUAGUAGGGUGUAACUUAGACAUGUAAAAAACAACCAUUUGAACUAGAUUCGGACUGGAUCCGACCUAGUCCAGGGAUAAGUCGAUCUGAUCUCGAGCAUCACUUGAUAAGUCUGUGGUCUGGGCAAGAACCUGAAUUUUAUUAAAAAAAAUUAUAAAAUAUAUAUAUUAUAGUAAAUAAUUAUAUCUAUUUAGCUCAUCUAUUACAUAUAUUUAAAAUUUUAAAUAUUUAUAUUUUCAUGCCCAAUUAUAAAAUUAUGAAAUAAAUUAAAAAAAUACAUACAUGACAUUAUAAAAAUAUAGCAUCCAAGCUUUUUAAGCCCGAACAAAAACCCCGGCCAUUGUGUUCAAAACAUAUGUCCAAAUUAGAUCCAAGCAUUGCCAUAUUCGAGCCCGACCUUGGGUUUUGCCAUUACUCUGGAUUAUUAUAAGUAUUUCUAAAUUUCCGUCUAAUUUAAUUAUGUGAUACACAAAUUACCUUUAUCACUUCUUUCAUUUAGAUACUAAUAAAUGUCACCGAAAUGGUCACCAAAAAACAAAAAAAAGAGAAAAAUCAUAUAGUUAACUUUUCUUCUUCUUUACUCCAUUAUUCAAUGGGAAUAUAAUAAACUAGGAGAAAGGAGAAAUUAAGGAGAAAAUUAGAUUGAUUGUUGCAAUGAUAAAAACUCAUGCAAGUGCUUAUUCAAAUAUAUGUGUGGCAUUCAUUAAUUUGACCAAAAAUAUAUGAAUUUAUUUGUAUUUUAAUCAAAAUCGAGGGAUAUAAACAAAAUUAUCCCUAAAUUGCAUAAAAUUAAGAAACCAGUAGUCACUGAAAGAGAAACAGAGUAAGAAGAGUUCAAACUUCAAAAGAUGGAACCCGAAGAAGAAACGCUAGCAACAAUCCCUGAAGAAGAGGAAGAUGAUGAUGAAGGCACGGCCAUGCCCGACGUUAAGAACAACUGUAAAAUAAAAAACAAAGGGCAGCUCUUUCGAACUCGAGCGAUGCCUCUGACGCCGACUCGGAUUCUGACUGGAGAAGUCGAAGCAAAACAGGGAAAUGGAGCUUCAAAUCUUAGAGUAUCAGCUAUCCAUGACUUCAGUACUAUUGAGUGAUUUUGUGGAUACCAUUUGCUUGUUCUUUCUUGGAUUGCGAAAAAAAUGGUUUUUUUUUUUUUUUUUCAGUACAUAAAAGGUUUUAAGAAAAAUGGGUGAGAUAGAGAAGUUAAGACAAGCUAGGGAAGCCAUGAAUGAGAUUUUUCCAUUGACUCCUGCCAUGUGGCAAGAAUAGGCGAGGGAUGAAGCCUCUAUUUCAACUCGGUAUGUGUCAUUUCCUUUCUGCAGUGGUUUUUGAUUUUGUGAACAAAUAUUUUUUUGCUUAGAGAUAUAGUUGUUUAUGUUAGUUGUUUGCUAUCGUAAAAAGGAAGAAAACCUGCUCAAAAGGUAUUAAGGAAAGAAAAAAAAGGAACCAAUUUGAAGAAGGAGAUAUUUAUAUUGGGAGUUCUAUUCUUUGGGGUUUAAUUGAUGGAAGAAGAAAUAGCUUAUACGUUUACAGAAUUAAUUCAAAGAAAUCGAUCUUUUGUAUCAAUCAAACUUUAGUAAUAUUCUUCAUCAUUAUGGUUAAUGGCUUAGCAAAUGUUGAAGUUUAAAGAGUUUUUAAAACAAGUUAAAACAGUUCCAACUCAAAAUCAGCAGGGUGCAAUUUGGUUGUAAUAAAUAUUUGUAAAUUUCAGUCUAAUUUAAUUGUACAUGUACAAAAUAACUUUAUCACUUCUAUCAUAUUAAUACUAAUAAAUUUGAACCUUAUUUUAUGUUGAUGCACAAUCUAACUUAACAAAAAUAAUAUUCAAAUUGUCACAAUUUUUUUUUAAAAAAUUAUGCAGUAGUUAUUACUUCUUCUUUACUUCAGAAUCCAGCUCCGCACUGUUUUUUUUUUGGGUCGUUAUUCUGUCCAAUCGUUAGAUUUUAAUUACGUUAAUCUAACAGUUGGUUUUGUGAUGACAAUUCCAGAAAUAUCGGCCGUAGGUGUUAUUUUUGUAGUUGUGGGCAAACGUAACGGGAGCAGGGACAACAUUCAUUCAAAUAUUAAACGUAAUAGGUCNNNNNNNNNNNNNNNNNNNNNNNNNNNNNNNNNNNNNNNNNNNNNNNNNNNNNNNNNNNNNNNNNNNNNNNNNNNNNNNNNNNNNNNNNNNNNNNNNNNNNNNNNNNNNNNNNNNNNNNNNNNNNNNNNNNNNNNNNNNNNNNNNNNNNNNNNNNNNNNNNNNNNNNNNNNNNNNNNNNNNNNNNNNNNNNNNNNGAAUCAUAUGUAGUUAACAUUUACAUGGUUAACGUCAUCGAAAUCAAAUGGUUGUUAUUCCCAUUGCAACCAUAUAUUGUUAUAAAUUGCAUUGUUUCCUAUAACAAAUAUAAUAAAAUCUCGAUAAAUUAAUAGCUCUGGGACCAAUGAAAAAUUUGUUCAAAUUUAACGAAUAUCAAUUAAUCGAUAAGUUAAUAAAUUAUUAAUUUAUGAAAACAUUUAUUAUUUUGGAAAAAUAUGAUUACGUUUAUGGUAUUGAUUUACCUUGAAUUAGAAUCUAUUAUGUUUUAUUUGAAUACUAGUUUUCUUUUAAGAAGUUUUUUAAUAGUUAACUGCUUUAAAAUAAUAAGACUAUUUUAUGGUUUUUAUUUUUCCACGUUAAAGAUGAUAGUAUGCUAUACAAACUAUUUUGAACAAAGUAUUAGAUGAUAUUGACAUUGAAUAACUUUUUGUCGCAAAAUGACAAUACCAACUAGAAUUUCGUUUCACAUUACAAAAGUUAAAAAUGAGAUCCAAGUUGAAAUUAAUUUAAAAAGAAAUAAACGAUGUUGAGAAUAUAUUUCACACAAGCCAUAUAGACAUAUCACAUGGAUUUGUUUUAUACUAGAUAAUUAUUAAUCUAUGUAAUAAUAUAUUUCCUUCAAAAUAUACUAUUUGAUUUCAAAAUUAUUUUUUAAAAAUUUAAUAUCACUAUAAUAGUCAUGAUUCAAUAGGUUUGAUUUUUUUUUCCUUUUUGUUUAAGAAAAAAGAUGGGAGAAUAGUUAAUGAUCAAGACACAAGUUAAGCAGAUCCAAUAAACAGGGGAAAGUGAAUUGCUGUCCUCGAGCGCAUUCUCUAAUAAUCUCAAUUUUCUACGUACAUUUUUGUGAAUUCAUGUCACAUGCAACAGUCUUUUGGGUUUUGUUGCAUCAAUUCUUUGGUGAUUUAUCUUUUUUUAUUAUUUUAUGACGCAAGAGUCCUGGUAGCAAUACAUUUGGAAUAAAACGAUUUAAUUUAAUUUUCGUUGUUAUUAACAAAAUGAUAUAUUAUUAAUUCGUGGUAUGCUGUGAUGUGAUAAAUUUAAUUCAAAUCUAAAUUAAGAGAUGAUUCAUAUAUAUAGGUACGGAAAAUUCUAUAAUACCGUAAUAAAAAUUACGGUAUUAAUGCCGUAAUUACUGUACACCGUUGGAUUAAAUCAACAGUAUGCAAUAACUAUAACAUAAUAAAAAAAUUUGUAAAUUUUUUUCAUUAACCGGUUGUUAACCGGCUAAACAUUUAUUUAAAAAAAUUAACUGGUUAAAAUUUUCAAAAUUAUAUAUACAUAUAUAUAUAUAUAUAUAUAUAUAUAUAUAUAUAUAUAUAUAUAUAUAUUAAAACCGAAUCUACAAAAAUCCAAAUAGAAUCUCAUAAUUCGAAGGGCACAACAUCGAGUCUAAGAAAUUGCAGCACGCCGGAUCUUGUAUUUUCGAAGCGAUUGGGCUUGCUGGCUAACCCAAAUUUUGUUUUCCUCAAUCGUUCCUCUUUUCCUGCCAAUCAUCGCUUUGAAAACUGCCUGAAGCCAAAAAGAAGCGAGAAAUAAGAAGCUCUACAACGGUUCAUGUUGGUGAAGGGGCUGAGUUUGUGUUCCUGCCCAUCACCGAUUUGAAAUCUGCUUGCAGCAAAACAGAAGCGGAUUUGAAAUUUGCCCAUCGCCAAGGCGUUCCUCUUUAAAUCCAUCACUAAAUACCAAUAGAUUAUUUAAUCGGACAAGAAGAAGCUCUACAACAACUUGGUUGAGGAGAACCAGGCUGUGUUCGUAUUCGUGAAGGGGUUUCGGAACAACGAUACCGGCUGGGCAUCAGUGAUUCAGGAGGUAAACUCUUCUUAAGACUUUUUUUAACCCUUUUUUAAGUUUUUUAAGUGGAUUUUUUUAUAAUUUUUGGAUACUGGGCAUCUGGAUUGGUUGUGGUAUUUUGUUUGGUUUCCAAGAGAAUUAAGGGAUAAAGAAAUUUUGAUGAGAUUUGACAGUGCCUGAAGCGGAGUACCAGGUGUUGAUCAUAAGUUGUUGCUGCUGCCCUCAAUCUUAUUGAUUGGAAGAGAAGGCAAGGCAAGUUCCAGCCACUGAUUCCCCUCCACCGCGUUUGCAUUGUUGUUAAUUCCACCAAGUAAGCCUAUUUUUGGUAUAUUUGUUUGUUUGCUACAAAUAAUUUCAACAUAAAAUUUAAUAGAAUUGUUUUGUGUCACUUGGGUUAAUGAAGAAAUAGAAACUGAACCUUAAUUUGGUGCGAUGUAUAGGUUUGGACGAAAUUAAAAGUAAAUUUCGUUAAUUGUUGUGCCCUUGAUUUUGUAUUCUCAUGUGCAUUGAUUUUGGUUGGAAGUUUAAUAGAAUACGAGGUUCAUCAACUGCAAAUAAUUUCAAUAUCAAUGAAUUUCAUCAACUCUUAGUUCAAUAGAAAGUGAAUUAUUGUUUAUACAAAUAAAUUUACCAGUUAGAAUGAGUUCCACUGUGGUAAUGAAGGGAAAAUUAAGUCUAGAGUUAGCCUAGAGAAGCAUGUUUGAAACGUAGGGAUGAUUUGCUGCUGUAUUUGGGAUGAUUUGCUGUUGUUCUUGGGUUAAAUUUUUCUGGUGUUUUGGGCUUCAUUUGCUGCUGAUUUUGGGUUAAAUUUUUUGCUGUUUCUGGGUAAAUUAGCUGCUGUUUUUAGUCUAAUUUUUUGCUGUUUUUGGAUCAAUUUACUGCUAUUUUUGGGUUAUAUUUUCUGCUGUUUGGAGGUAAAUUUUUCUGGUGUUUUGGGCUUCAUUUGCUGCUGUUUUUGUUUUAAAUUUUCCGCUGUUUCUCGGUAAAUUUGCUGCUGUUUUUCAGUUAAAUUUUUUGCUGUUUCUGGAUAAAUUUACUGCUGUUUUUGGGUUAAAUUUUCUGCUGUUUUGUGGUUAAAUUUUCUGCUGUUUUGGGCUUCAUUUGCUGCUGUUUUUGUGUUAAAUUUUCUGCUACUUCUGGGUAAAUUUGCUGCUUUUUUUCAAUUAAAUUUUCUGCUGUUUCUAGAUAAAUUUACUGCUAUUUUUGGGUUAAAUUUUCUGCUGCUUCUGGGUAAAUUUGCUGCUGUUUUUCAAUUAAUUUUUCUGCUGUUUCUGGAUAAAUUUACUGCUGUUUUUGGGUAAAAUUUUUGAGUGUUUUGGGCUUCAGUUGCUGCUAUUUCUGUGUUAAAAUUCUGCUGGUUUUGGGUUAAUUUGCUGCCGUAUUUCAGUUAAAUUUUUUUUCUGUUUUUGGAUAAAUUUACUACUACUUUUGGGUUAAUUUUUUUGCUGUUUCCGGAUAUAUUUGCUGUUGUUUUUGUGUAUGGAGCUGGCCGGAAAAUGGUCAUGAUGCAUUUUGAAUGGAGAAGGAUGGGGAUUGAUAGUAAAAGUUGCUUGUGUUGUUCCUGCUGCUACUUGCUUCAUUUGAGCUUCUACAAUCCAUUGAUAAUAGAGGGAAGAAGAAAGAGAUGAUGAGAAAUGCAAAAUGUUUGUGAGCUUUAGAUUGAUGUGCCAAGCCAACAGUUAUAUUGUAAAACGUCUAUAUAUUUUUUUUUGAAGUUUGUUAUUUCUUUUUAAGGAUUAUAACUAAUGUUGUAAAUGGUUAUUGUUUGUCACUGUUAUGGAAGCAAAUACCAGUUUAACUUUCCAGGUGUUCCUAAUUAUUGCUCGGGCGAUUGAAUUUUGAAUUGAAAUGUUUAUCUGUAAAAUAUUUUUAAAGGAUCCAAAACUUGUGAUCUUUGACAUUUCUUUUUGUGCCUACUAUCUUCAUGUCCGGGUUCCUGUUAUAAACUCGAAAAUGCCUGAAAAUGUACAUAAGGGUAACGAGAAUGAUUUCAAGGAUAACGUGAACCAAGAAAUUGAAAUUUUAAGAAAUAAUCGGUCUUUCGUUAAGUAUUUGUAAGUCUAAUUACAUUAAAUAUUACGUAUUUGAUUGUUGGUAAAUUUAUGAAUAUUUAGUAAAGUCAAGCAUAAUAAUGUGACAGUGCACUGAUUAUAUUUUUUUUUCAAAAUAUUUAAUUGACUGCAGCAAGCAAGAAGCAAAAAUAUUACGGGAACAAGGAAAAAACUGACUUAAUUCUAUAAAUAUGACAUAAUUUGUCGUGAGAUUACAAUCUUUAGUUGGAGCUAUUGAGAUUACAUAAUUUGUCGUGAAUGUAAGAAAAAAGUACUGUAAUAUUUAUUUAAAAAAAAUUGAAAUAAAAAGAGUGUAAAAGUGUUAAGUGAAAUUUGAUAGCAGAUUAAAAAAUACCUUGAUAUUUAAAAAAAAUUUGUAACUAAAAAGGACCAUAAGGUUUAAAUUAAACAUGCCAAUGAUUCGAUUUUAAACUAGUAAAGAGGUCCAUCCAAAAAAAAUAAAAAUUAGUAACAUAUCAAUCUUUAGUUGAACCUAAUUUUUUUUGAGAAAAUUAUAUUGUUUAUGCCAUAAAAGUGACUUAAUUCUAUAAUUAUGACAUCAUACUAAGUAAUUCCAGUAAUAUGACAAAUUCAUUAAAAAUAAGAUAUAUAUAUAUACAUAUAUAUAUAUAUAGAGAGAGAGAGAGAGAGAGACACACACACACACACACACACAAACAUUUAUAUAUAUACCUAAAAUAUAUAUAGAACCACUUAUGUUAUGACUUUUUUGGGGUUUAGAUUUAUGAUUUUUAGUUAAAUUUUAAAUUUAUGAUUUUGUACCCAAUUUCUCAUUCGGGAAAGGGACAAUGUCGAUUUUUAUAAACUAAUUUAAAGAAAAAUGAUAGAUUUAUGAUUUUAUUAAUAUAUUAAUAUAUAUUAUAAUUAAUAAUAAUAAUAAUUUUUGAAUAAAUAAUCACUAUAAUUAAAAUAUAAAAUAAUAAUUAUGAUAAUAAUCCAUUAAGUACUUUUUAGUAAUUUGUUACAAUUUAACUCAUUCCGAAGCCAAUUCCAAGAUAAAAUAAACACAUUAAUGGGGUUCCAGUCCAUUCCGAUUUCGAUUCUUAUAGAUCAAGUAAACAACUUAUUCUGAUUCUCAUUACCUAUUCCAAUUAAUGACAAGUAAACGCAACAUUCUAUAUAUACCUAUAAAUUUAUAGAAGAGUUUAUAUGAUAUAUAAAAAUAAAAAAUCAAGAUGCAAACAUAUAUACAUGCAAGGAAGACUCGGAUCGACUUUUAGUCUAAUUGACUUGACCUAAAUUUUCUAUCAUUUGACUCGAAUUUAAUGGUUAGGCUCGGGCCUAAAUAUUAGAGCCCAAUUAAAUUGAAAUCAGGGUUCGGGACCUACAUGUUGCUCUAGACUACAAUUCCAAAACCAAAAUCACACUCUCUUAUAAGUAAAUUUAUUAUUUUAUAAGAUUAAUAUAAAAGUAAGUUGGUUUUAAUUUCUUUUUAUUUUUUUAGUGAAUACUUAACGGCACAUAAUUAUAUAUCACUUUCAUUUUAUUUUUGUAUAUGAUGCUAGCUAAUUAUCUAAAAAGUCUGAAUUUGGAAUUGGAAAAGGAGAUGUAGGAGAAAUAAAGUCUAUAUGCUUUUUGUGGAAAUUUUCUUAAUUUAAAGAUAGUUAAUUUAUUAACUUUCUUUACGUUCACUAGAUAGUGAAUGAAAAUUUCAUGUUAUAAAAGAUUUAUAUUGGAUUUUAAUAAGUUUCAUUUCAAGUUUCAUAUCAUUUUCAUUGUUCAAAUUAAAAUUUUGAUUUGACCUUCAACCUAAUCAACUUAACCAGACGAUAUAAGGUUUGGGUAGAAUUGCGUUAAACAAGUUUAUUUAGUUAAGUUGGAUGGAUUUUAUCUCAACUCAUUAAAAAGUAGAUCAGGUUAGAAUUUCACUAACCCUAUCAAACCCAACUCAUGCCCACCCUUAUAUCAUUCUAUCUAAAUCAUAAAAUGCCAAUAAUCAACGUUAGAGUGGUAAAUUGGUCUACAAAAUUUAAAAAAAAAUAAAAAAUAGAAAAAAAACUAGUAAAUUAAUGUUGGAGUUGUAAAUUAUAAGAAGAAAUUGUAAACAAAACAAAAACUUAGAAAAAUGACAUAAAACUUGUAAAUUGACAUUAAGUGUGAAAUGAAACAAAAAAUAUGUAAAUCAUACAUAAAACUAGUAAAUUAAUGAAAAAUUUGGUAAAUUAAUAUUAGAGUUGAAAAUUGUAAGAAGAACUUGUAAACAAAACAAAAACUUAGAAAAAUGACAUAUAACUAGUAAAUUGACAUUAAUUGUGAAAUGAAACAAAAAAUAUGUAAAUCACACAUAAAAUUAGUAAAUUAAUGAAAAAAUGAGUAAAUUAAUGUUGAAGUUGUAAAUUGCAAGAAGAACUUGUAAACAAAAUAAAAAUUUAGAAAAAUGACAUAGAACUUGUAAAUUGACAUUAAGUGUGAAAUGAAACAAUAAAUUUGUAAAUCACACAUAAAACUAGUAAAUUAAUGGAAAAAUGAGUAAAUUAAUGUUGGAGUUGUAAAUUGCAAGAAGAACUGUAAACAAAACAAAAACUUAGAAAAAUGACAUACAACUAGUAAAUUGACAUUAAUUGUGAAAUGAAACAAAAAAACAUGUAAAUCACACCUAAAACUAGUAAAUUGAUGGAAAAAUUGGUAAAUUAAUGUUGGAGUUGUAAAUUGUAAGAAGAACUUGUAAACAAAACAAAAACUUAGAAAAAUGACAUAGAACUUGUAAAUUGACAUUAAGUGUGAAAUGAAACAAAAAAUAUGUAAAUGACACCUAAAACUAGUAAAUUGAUGGAAAAAUUGGUAAAUUAAUGUUGUAGUUGUAAAUUGCAAGAAGAACUUGUAUACAAAACAAAAACUUAGAAAAAUGACAUAGAACUUGUAAAUUGACAUUAAGUGUGAAAUGAAACAAUAAAUGUGUAAAUCACACAUAAAACUAGUAAAUUGAUGGAAAAAUGAGUAAAUUAAUGUUGGAGUUGUAAAUUGCAAGAAGAACUUGUAAACAAAACAAAAACUUAGAAAAAUGACAUAGAACUUGUAAAUUGACAUUAAGUGUGAAAUGAAACAAUAAAUUUGUAAAUCACACAUAAAACCAGUAAAUUUUUUUUGCGGGGGGUAAAAAAAGGGCCCCCAAAAAAGGGCAAAAAAAAUUUUUUUUUUUUUCAAAAAAAAAAAAUUUUUAAAAUUUUUUGGAAGGUUUUUUUUUUUUUUNNNNNNNNNNNNNNNNNNNNNNNNNNNNNNNNNNNNNNNNNNNNNNNNNNNNNNNNNNNNNNNNNNNNNNNNNNNNNNNNNNNNNNNNNNNNNNNNNNNNNNNNNNNNNNNNNNNNNNNNNNNNNNNNNNNNNNNNNNNNNNNNNNNNNNNNNNNNNNNNNNNNNNNNNNNNNNNNNNNNNNNNNNNNNNNNNNNNNNNNNNNNNNNNNNNNNNNNNNNNNNNNNNNNNNNNNNNNNNNNNNNNNNNNNNNNNNNNNNNNNNNNNNNNNNNNNNNNNNNNNNNNNNNNNNNNNNNNNNNNNNNNNNNNNNNNNNNNNNNNNNNNNNNNNNNNNNNNNNNNNNNNNNNNNNNNNNNNNNNNNNNNNNNNNNNNNNNNNNNNNNNNNNNNNNNNNNNNNNNNNNNNNNNNNNNNNNNNNNNNNNNNNNNNNNNNNNNNNNNNNNNNNNNNNNNNNNNNNNNNNNNNNNNNNNNNNNNNNNNNNNNNNNNNNNNNNNNNNNNNNNNNNNNNNNNNNNNNNNNNNNNNNNNNNNNNNNNNNNNNNNNNNNNNNNNNNNNNNNNNNNNNNNNNNNNNNNNNNNNNNNNNNNNNNNNNNNNNNNNNNNNNNNNNNNNNNNNNNNNNNNNNNNNNNNNNNNNNNNNNNNNNNNNNNNNNNNNNNNNNNNNNNNNNNNNNNNNNNNNNNNNNNNNNNNNNNNNNNNNNNNNNNNNNNNNNNNNNNNNNNNNNNNNNNNNNNNNNNNNNNNNNNNNNNNNNNNNNNNNNNNNNNNNNNNNNNNNNNNNNNNNNNNNNNNNNNNNNNNNNNNNNNNNNNNNNNNNNNNNNNNNNNNNNNNNNNNNNNNNNNNNNNNNNNNNNNNNNNNNNNNNNNNNNNNNNNNNNNNNNNNNNNNNNNNNNNNNNNNNNNNNNNNCUUGAACAAAAAGAGUAAUUACCUGCUAUUUAGGUAACAGGUUACUUAUUUAUUUAUAAUUAAUGGUAGAGAUUUUUUAUUCAAAUCUAACGGUCCACGUCCAUUACAACAUCAAUGCCGUAAAUUUAGCUACGGCAUUAUAGAAUGACCCAUAUAGGUACAUACUGAACAAAGAUAUUUAAACAUAAACAUUCAAUUUUAUGGUAUGCCUAAUAAUAAUUGGUUUAUUGUCCAUAUCAAAGGGAGUGAAUAUAAAUAAUGUAGAAAGUCAAAAAGAUGAACCAGCGCACAUGAUGAUUUAUAAAAUAAUAAAUUAAAUUUAUAUCAUUUUUAAUAAGUGUGAGAUUAUUUACACUUAAAAUUUAUUUUGAACAUUCUUAUUUUUUACUACAACAAAACCCUCAUUAAGACCAAUUCAAUAUAAAUAAAUAGAAUAAUAAUACUUUUGACACCAACCUAGCGCUUACACGCCCAUGUAAAAUUAUUAAACCUUAAAUUUAGAACGUUCUUCCUCAGCAUUAAAACUCGUGCAUUGUUUAAAAGUAUAUUUAACAAAUUUGCACAAAGAGACUCCAUGAUUCAAAUUUCUUUGACUUAAAUUUCAAUUUUGUUGAAGAUAUAUCUAUUCCAUAUAAAGAUUUCAAUUUUCUGCACAAUCAUGAGCUGCGUGUAUAUAUAUACACAUAUAACUGUUCUGCGAAUAUAUAGAAGCAAUUUCAACCAUCCAACUUUUUUUUUUGAAUUUUAAUGAAUAUCAAUUUUAUAUGUUGGACAACUAUGAAAAAUAAAAUUAGCAAAAUGAUAUUAUUAACAAAUAGGGAGAGCAAAAGGUAAUUAUAUGUUGGUGUGCUAAAUAUUUUUAUGGGUGUACGGAAAAAGAUAAAGAUAAUAGAAGCAAUGUUAUCGAGGAGUAUUUUGGUAUUUAUGAAAGUGUUCUAAGUGAAAAGUGAUUUCCUAAAAUCUAUUAACUAAUGCACAUAGUAAAAAGGCAUUUUGAGAAAAUUUUCGAUUACAAAUAGUCCCAUCCUUUAAUAUUCUUCAAUCAAUGUGUUUUUUUCAAAAUAAAAAAUCCAUCUAUUUAUUACUUUCUAACUAGUAAUAUUAAUGUGUUAAUAAUUGUGAAGAACCAAUGUAAUUUGUAUGAUGUAGAAAGCUCUUUAGACACAAUAACCCGAAUUUCUAACAGUAGCUGUUGGACGUGCUUGGGAAUAGACUCAAUUCAGUUACUUUUUUUAUCGUGAUAUUUAAACAUAAUCAUCCGGAUUCGUGCGGAUCCCCACCUUUCACAUCCGGAUCUGCAUUUUUUAAUAUCUGGAUUUAGAUUUUUUUCUGGAUCCGGAAGAGGAUAUUUACUUGUCAUCCCUAGUACCCAGCAACAUCCAUCCAUGAGGAGUGAAACCCCAUUGAUUUCAUAAAUAAAAAAUAAAUAACUCGCAAAAACAAUCUUUGACAAUCACAAGAACAACAACAAUUCACUCCAAUAAACAACAUAACAAAUACAUGGUCUACAUUGAAAGUCUUUUUAUGAUUUUAAUCGAAAGAGAAAGUACGAAGGACAUAUUAUACAUAAUUGAAUGUUAUCGUUGAUAAUUAGGCAAAAUAAUACUAAUCUAGCUAACUAAUCCAAUCAUCAUAAUAAUCUGAUUUUCAUUAUUUAUUUGAUAUGUCCAAUCAUAUGCUAACUUAAUAAAGAACACUAAAUGCUUGAGUCUUUAUAUGUUUCAACAACUUUGGCUAAGUUUAAUUAUGAAUAUUAAUACAAAACCCUGCAAGCUACAGAUUGCAUACAUAUGCAGUUGCAACAAAUACAUAUGUAAUAAAAAGAUCAAUGGUUUUUCAGCAGCUGAGAAAGCAAGCCAUUACUCGCAUACUACACCCACCCAAACACAAUUAAUAUGUUAUCAAACAAAUAGACACAAUAGAAAUAAAUCUAAUGUGAAAACUGAAAACAAAAACAGCCCCAUCACCAUCAAUAUAUAAUUUUGACGAACUGGACAUGGGUGGACCUAGCAUCAUUGAAUAAAUGAAAAACAAAACAAAACAAAAUUAAAAUCAGUAUCCACCAGAAAGAAUCAAUAUUUACGUGCUGCCUCCAAUUUGGUACAUGCAUAGAUAUGUACAUCUAUCUAACUUUUAAAAAAUUGUAGUAGAAAUUAGAGCUCACUUUUUUAGAUAUGGCUCAUAUACAAUGCACGUGUCAAGAUUUAAUUAGAGUUUACAUAUAUACAUGUGUCUAAUUCUAAUUGAUAGAUAAACUAAUCAUAAAUACUCAGAUGUUUCUAAAUGAUUGAAUAAUGAUAUUGUAGUGACUUGAUUGCUUUGUUCUCUGAUUAGAAAUAAAUCACUGUCCAAGAACCUUUGUCAAGAUCUGUUCAAGUUGCAAUUAAAUCAACACCAAUAUGAGGCUUCAAUGCUGAUUCACACCUUAGCUCUAGGUUAAUGGAGAUUGAAAGCAGAGGACUAAAUUGAACUAGAAGCAAAACACACUCACACAGAGAACAAGAUUUAACGUGGUUUGAUUAUGCAUAAAUGCACAAUCUACAUCCACGGGAGUGUCAAAAUUAUUGGCUGCAGCAUCUAGAAGGUUUGAAGAAGCUGCAGCAUCUAGAAGGUUUGAAGAAGAAAAAAUGGGCUGGCCGAAAUGCUUGAAAAGGAAAUGGAAAAAGAAGCAGUUUAAAGAAGAAAAUGAAGAACACGGUUUUGACAAGGAAAAAUUAUUAUUAAUUUAAUAGCCAUUUUUUGGCUAUAAAAGGGAGAGCUUCCCAUUUCAUUGAGCAUCCAAUUCCAUUAUUCAGAGAGUAAUUUAGAGAGAGUCGAGAGUUGUGAGAAAUAAUUCUUGCAGAGCAGAGAGUCUAGUGAGUGAGAGAUUGGGUGUAUUGGGGUUUUGGGUUGUGAGCCAAAAUAUUACAAUACUUGUAAUCCUUAUUUCACUAGUAAAAUAUUUCCUUCUGUUUUCGCCCGUGGACGUAGGCUAAAAGCCGAACCACGUAAUUUCUGGUGUCCAUUCUUUUGUGCUUGUUCUUUAUUUUCUUACAAUUUUACUUUAGCUGCGUGUCUGCUUCACCCACCAAUUUCCUAACAGUGGUAUCAGAGCUAUUGGUUGUAUUUUUGGAGUCAGGAAUUGUUCACGUAUUCACGUAUACGGUGUACGGCACUAUUCACGUAUACGGCAUACGAUACUAUUCAUGUAUACGGAGUACGGCACUAUUCAUGUAUAUGGUACUAUUCACGUGAAACGGUGGAAGCGAUCCAAGAAUUUUGCGGUGCAAAGCAGGGAAUAGUGGUGUGAGUAAAGCAACUGUGUGAUUCUGUACAUGUCUAGGAAAGUUCUGUCACAAAGGCGAUAAGAGCUUAAGGAGUCUGGGUUUUAAGUGGGACCAUUGUGACCCCUCCAGUCUUUCCUGGGAACUUUCCUGGUGUGCAUUCUCACACAUACUCACAACUAUUCAAGGUGGUACACUAGCUUGUGUACAGUAUUUAUCAAUAAAAUGGCAGCAAAGUAUGAAAUUGAGAAAUUUAACGGAAAUAAUUUUUCGUUGUGGAAAAUGAAGAUGAAAGCUGUAUUGAGAAAAAAUAAUUGCUUGGCAGCAAUUGAAGAAAGGCCCAUGGAGAUAACUGAUGACAAGUGGAACGAGGUAGACGGCAAUGCCAUUUCUGAUCUACACUUGGCACUUGCGGAUGGAGUAUUAUCCAGUGUGGCAGAGAAAAAUACGGCGAAGGAAAUAUGGGAUACUCUCACAAAAUUGUACGAGGCCAAGUCACUACACAAUAAAAUCUUCUUGAAGAGGAAACUCUAUACUCUUCGAAUGGCGGAAUCUACAAUGGUGACCGACCACAUCAACACAUUGAAGACUCUAUUUUCACAACUCACAACGUUGGGUCAUAAUAUAGAGGAAAAUGAACUUGCAGAGCUUCUACUUCAAAGUCUACCAGAUUCGUAUGAUCAACUCAUCAUCAACUUGACAAACAACAAUCCAGUGGAGAGUCUAGUUUUCGACGAUGUUGCAGCCUCCGUAUUAAAUGAGGAGAGCAGACGGAAAAAUAAGGAAAACAGACAAGCAAGUUCGCAGCAAGCGGAGGCGCUAUCAGUGACGAGAGGGAGAUCAACGGAACGUGGCCCCAGUGGGAGUCAAAAUCAGGGUAGAUCAAAAUCCAGAAGUAAGAAGAAUGUUAAAUGCUACAAAUGUGGCAAGAAAGGGCACGUCAAGAAGGAGUGUUGGAGUAACCAGAAGAAAAGAGAGGGCAAAGAACCUGAGUCAUCAAAUGCUCAGGGGUGUGUAGCAAGUACCUCGGAUGAUGGCGAAAUUCUCUACAGUGAGGCAACAACUGUUUCAGAAGGCAGAAAACGACUUUCUGAUGUCUGGCUUAUAGACUCGGGAGCUACCUGGCACAUGACCUCUAGGAGAGAAUGGUUCCACACAUAUGAACCUAUCUCAGGAGGAUCUGUAUAUAUGGGUAACGAUCAUGCCUUGGAGAUCGCUGGUAUUGGUACUAUCAAAAUAAAAAUGUUUGAUGGUACAAUUCGCACAAUUGGAGAGGUAAGACAUGUCAAUGGCCUGAAGAAAAAUCUAUUGUCUUUGGGACAAAUGGAUAGUCAUGGGUACAAAACUCAUGUGGAGAAUGGAAUAAUGAAGAUCAUUAAAUGCGCGCUUGUAUUGAUGAAGGCAGAAAAGAUUGGUGCUAAUUUAUUCAUGCUUAAAGGAGAAACACUACAGGAGGCUGAUGCGUGUGUCGCGUCAAAUGGAGAAGAAUCAACGAUGAUGUGGCAUCUCAAACUCGGCCACAUGUCAGAACAAGGCUUGAAGAUUCUCUCUGAGCGAAAAUUGCUUCCGGGGCUCAAAUCGGUAAGUUUACCAUUUUGCGAGCAUUGUGUUAUAAGUAAGCAGCAUAGAUUAAAAUUCAGUAGAUCUAUUGCUAGAAGUAAAUGCAUUCUAGACUUGAUUCAUUCUGAUGUUUGGGAAUCACCGGAUAUAUCCAUGGGAGGUGCAAAGUACAUGGUGACUUUCAUUGAUGAUUAUUCCAGAAGAUGUUGGGUGUAUCCAAUUAAGAAAAAGUCAGAUGUAUUUCCAGUGUUUAAAGAAUACAAAGCGCGGGUGGAACUUGAAUCUGGUAAAAAGAUCAAGUGCUUGAGGACAGAUAAUGGUGGAGAAUAUACAGACGGCGAGUUUCUUGCUUUCUGUAAGCAAAAAGGUAUUCAGAGACAGUUCACGGUGGCAUACACUCCUCAACAAAAUGGAGUGGCAGAACGGAUGAACAGAACUCUUACAGAAAGAAUAAGAGCUAUGUUGAGGACUGCUGGUCUACCCAAUUCAUUCUGGGCAGAAGCAGCCAAAACUGCCUGUUAUAUAGUAAAUCGGUCGCCAUCUACAGCUAUUGGGUUGAAGACAGCGAUGGAGAUGUGGACUGGAAAGCCAGCUGAUUAUUCCUACCUACAUGCAUUUGGAUGUCCUGUGUACGUGAUGUACAAUGCCCAAGAAAGAACAAAGCUGGAUGCAAAAUCUAGAAGAUGUAUCUUCUUGGGGUAUGCUGAUGGAGUAAAGGGGUAUCGUCUGUGGGACCCCACUGCCCACAAGAUCGUCAUCAGCAGAGAUGUUAUUUUUGUAGAAGAUCAACUGCAAAGAAAAGAUGAAGAUGAUGGCACUGUAAAAGAAAAGUCAGAGACUGUGCCGGUAUAUGUCGAAAAUAAUCCAGAAGAUUCAGAUUCUUCUGAAGUAGCAUCAGAGCACGAGGAACAAGAACCAGUUGAGUCCGAGGCUCCAGAAGUUCGUCGGUCAACUCGUGAGAGACGACCGCCAACGUGGCACUCGGAGUAUGUCACAGAGAUCAACGUUGCAUACUGUCUUCUAAUAGAGGAUGGAGAGCCUUCAACUUUCCAUGAAGCUUUAAACAGCUCAGAUGUUGCUUUGUGGAUGACAGCAAUGCAAGAAGAAAUUGAAGCUCUACACAAGAACAAGACAUGGGAACUUGUACCACUACCACGUGGAAGAAAAGCCAUUGGAAACAAAUGGGUCUACAAGAUCAAACGUGAUGGCAAUGACCAAGUGGAGCGGUAUCGUGCGAGACUGGUAGUGAAAGGAUAUGCUCAGAAAGAAGGUAUUGACUUCAACGAGAUAUUUUCUCUGGUGGUUCGACUCACAACAGUCAGAAUAGUCUUGGCAAUGUGUGCUACAUUUGACCUACAUCUAGAGCAGUUAGAUGUUAAAACUGCAUUUCUUCAUGGAGAACUUGAAGAAGAAAUUUAUAUGCUCCAACCAGAAGGUUUUGCAGAAAAAGGAAAGGAGAACUUGGUUUGCAGGUUGAACAAAUCUCUAUACGGUCUCAAACAGGCGCCGAGGUGUUGGUAUAAGAGAUUUGAUUCCUUCAUCAUGAGCCUUGGAUACAACAGACUCAGUUCAGAUCAUUGUACAUAUUACAAGAGGUUUGAAGAUAAUGAUUUCAUCAUUUUACUGUUGUAUGUGGAUGACAUGUUGGUAGCAGGUCCCAACAAAGAUCGAAUCCAAGAAUUGAAGGCACAGUUGGCUAGGGAGUUUGAAAUGAAGGACUUGGGACCAGCAAACAAGAUUCUAGGGAUGCAAAUUCACCGAGACAGAAAUAACAGGAAGAUUUGGCUUUCGCAGAAGAAUUACUUGAAGAAAAUCUUGCGACGCUUCAACAUGCAAGAUUGUAAGUCAAUUUCUACCCCACUUCCUGUUAAUUUCAAAUUAUCCUCAUGUAUGUGUCCUAGCAAUGAAGCAGAGAGAAAGGAGAUGUCUCGAGUACCGUAUGCAUCAGCAGUGGGAAGUUUGAUGUUCGCUAUGAUAUGCACAAGACCGGACAUUGCACAAGCAGUGGGAGCAGUCAGUCGAUACAUGGCGAAUCCUGGUGGAGAGCAUUGGAUAGCUAUAAAGAGGAUUCUGAGAUACAUCAGAGGAACCUCAAAUGUUGCAUUAUGUUAUGAAGGAUCAGAGUUUACUGUCAGAGGCUAUGUGGAUUCAGAUUUUGCAGGAGACCUUGAUAAAAGGAAAUCCACUACUGGUUAUGUGUUUACACUUGCGGGAGCAGCUGUAAGCUGGGUUUCGAAACUGCAGACCGUUGUGGCUUUAUCUACAACAGAAGCAGAAUACAUGGCAGCUACACAAGCUUGCAAGGAAGCUAUCUGGAUACAAAGAUUAUUGGAGGAGCUCGGGCACAAACAACAGAAAAUUCCUGUGUUUUGUGACAGUCAGAGUGCCUUGCACAUUGCAAGGAAUCCAGCUUUUCAUUCCAGGACAAAGCACAUAGGAGUUCAGUAUCACUUCGUUCGAGAAGUAGUGGAAGAUGGAAGUGUGGAUUUACAGAAAAUCCAUACGAAGGAGAACCUAGCAGAUGUUUUGACCAAGCCGAUAAAUACUGAUAAGUUUGUCUGGAGUAGAUCCUCCUGUGGCCUAGCAGAAACGUAGGCAACAUGAUUAUGGCGAAGCAGAUAGGAUGGUGUGGAGAUUGAUUGUUUUUCAAUCUAAUCUCCAAGUGGGAGAAUGUCAAAAUUAUUGGCUGCAGCAUCUAGAAGGUUUGAAGAAGCUGCAGCAUCUAGAAGGUUUGAAGAAGAAAAAAAUGGGCUGGCCGAAAUGCUUGAAAAGGAAAUGGAAAAAGAAGCAGUUUAAAGAAGAAAAUGAAGAACACGGUUUUGACAAGGAAAAAUUAUUAUUAAUUUAAUAGCCAUUUUUUGGCUAUAAAAGGGAGAGCUUCCCAUUUCAUUGAGCAUCCAAUUCCAUUAUUCAGAGAGUAAUUUAGAGAGAGUCGAGAGUUGUGAGAAAUAAUUCUUGCAGAGCAGAGAGUCUAGUGAGUGAGAGAUUGGGUGUAUUGGGGUUUUGGGUUGUGAGCCAAAAUAUUACAAUACUUGUAAUCCUUAUUUCACUAGUAAAAUAUUUCCUUCUGUUUUCGCCCGUGGACGUAGGCUAAAAGCCGAACCACGUAAUUUCUGGUGUCCAUUCUUUUGUGCUUGUUCUUUAUUUUCUUACAAUUUUACUUUAGCUGCGUGUCUGCUUCACCCACCAAUUUCCUAACAGGGAGAAGCCACAGAAAAAAAGUUUUUUUGAUGAUUCAAAAUGAAUUUUACAGAGCUAAUACAGAGGAGAUUACAAGGAACAAGAAGACUCUUUCUCUCUUUCUAAGAUCUCUCCGGAAAGCUCUCAAAAUCCUAUGCAAAUUUUUUUCAACAACCAGCCUCUUCAUACCCCUGAUAUUGAAACCCAAUUGCACAACUUUUACAUGAAUGACAAUGAAUGAAGUUAUGUUAAUUUACAUUAAGUAGAAACCUUCCUAAAUAGGAAUAGAAAUACUCUAUUAACAUAUCGAAUACUACCUUAAUAAAAAUUUAGUUGACAAAAAAAAAAGCCUUGAAGGUUUGAAAUAAUUAACCCUAAUUAAAUAAUUGUCUUACAUAACCAAUUUUUUCCUUUCUUAAUUUACUAAGACAUCGCCACACUCCUGAUUUUAUAAUAUAAAGCAUAAAAUAUAAUAGACAAGUUUGAGUUUACUUUUUUGAUCAUUGAGCAUGCAAUUCUCUGAAAAAACUCAUUGUGUUUGUGUCUAUUGUAAAUUUAUGACAUUUACUAAUCUUUUGGGUUUUGUUGUAUCUAUUCUUUGGUACGUGUUCAUCAUGUUUUCAUUCUUUUCUAAUGCAAGAUUCUUGGUUACAUUAGGAAUCAGAGUGAAAUUCUAAUUUUAAAGUUUGGAGAAAUAAAAUGUAAUAUGAUUUUUUUUCAUGAAUAAAAUGAUUUAAUUUACUUUUUUCUACUAGCAAAAAUUAUUACUUUAUUAAACCCAUCAAGCUAUUGGCUUCAUUUAUAAGCCGGUCAGUCAGUUUUUUAGUUUCAAUUGUUAUCUUUUAAAAGAUAAUAGAAAAAUCUUACUUUGAGUGUAUUUUAUCACUUCACUAAAAUUUUAUUAACCCAUCAAGUUAUUGGCUUUAGCUUUUCUUGUAUAUGUUGCAAUUUUCAAGUAUCACUCAAAAUUUUAGACCGUCAACACCUGCAGGAAAAUUGCAUAUAUUCUAUCAUUCAACCUCAACAAAUAAAUUCUUUUCACUGGAAUCCAACAAUCGUUAAGUGUUAACCUUGUAGUUCUCAAAAGCAGAAAUUGUUGUAUUAAUUUUUUCAAAGUGUCUCAGUUAAAAGAAAACUAAAGAUAGAAGAGAGUGAAAUUUCAACUGAGAUCUUGCCACAUAAGACGAUCGAUUUAAUCCUUUCUGUAUCUUUCUUCUAUCAGCGGACAAUUCUUGAUAUACAGUUGCAAGAGUGAGGUAGGCACGCUCUUGUCCAAAAAGUAUUUUAGCUUCGGACGAAUAUAAAGCCAAAGAUACACCAACGACGUGAGAUUUUGACCAACUGAAGACGGGCAUUCCAGGUUUUGGAAAUCAUAAAUCCACAAACGGGUUCCUAACUCCUGUGGCGAAAUGACACCAAGUAAUGAAGUCCUCCGAUUGACAGUCGUUGUAGAGAUGAGAAUCUGCUCAAUCCCCCUUCCCCCCACCCCAUCGAUGGCUUCCAAAUCUUCAUAUCAUGAAUAUAAAGUGACCGAAUGUUGAUGGGAAACAUACCAUCAUCUGCCUCAACUGGGAAGCAAUACCCUAUACGCUUGCCAGGCCUGCUCUGUUCAAAUCUUGAAGAUUGUGCUUGUCCUUGCGUGAGGCCUCUAGUUUAUCACACCACGUUAUUCGGAGCUUAGUCAGUUCCGCAGAAGGCAACCCUCCGUCAGGAAGGGUCAUUUCAAUAAAAGCACAGUACAAUUGCUUAACUAAUUUUUAAAAAACAUAGGUAUGAGAGAUUGACAAUUUACAAUUUCUUAAUUGCUCAAGAAGAGAGCAAGCUUGAAAUAUGAAAUAUGAAAAAGAGAACACAAAUGACAAAUCUUAAGGAAUUGGCAGGAUUCACGUCCGACCAACUCCACGUUGCUAAAGCAAAAGAUUAAUUUUUGAGAAAUUGUAAAGAAACUAAUACAAGUGAAAUGAGAGCCUGUUCAUUUGAUUAUUGGCUAAGUGUCACAGGAUGAGUAUUGUGCGCAGCUAACCCGUGUGGCACUUAGACAACUUUGCCGAAUGUUGCUGAGUAAGCCUAGAGCUUAUCAAAUUAGAGAAGAGAGCAAUUAAGCCGAAUAAGAGAGAUUGUAUUGCACAAAGAGAGAUUACAAUGCUUGAGUUGCUUACAAUGCUUGUUGUUGUGUUUUUUGGAUGCAAAUGCCUAAUGCCAUCCCAUAUUUAUAGGGGAGGCUUGCCAAGCUCUAGAGAUUCUAGAGAAUUCUACCAUUUCCUAGCUAUUUACAUGUGCUAGAAUUCUAUGAAGAAUUCUAGAAUAUUUACAAGCUCAUUUGUACUAGAGUUGGCUAGAAGUUUCCAGAAUUGGGCCAAGCUAGCACUCUUGGCCUUGUGUUGGCUCUCUAGCCCGAAAUUGUGGGCAAUUGGGCUAGCAAAUUGGGCGGACCGUAACAUCCUCCCCCACCUAAGCUCGUGGCAUCCUCGUCGCAAUCUCAUCCUUGGUCCUUGAGAGACUUGUUCUGCGAUUUUCCGUUAGUCUUCUUGUGCUUCUCUCUUGGGGAGGUUCCGCCACUUGCUCCGCAUGUGGUCGUUUCCUUCUUUUGGCUGGUGUUGCGGCGUCCCCUCUUGUGUUUCUGCAAACCCUUAUGCUCGGAUGGCUUUGUACGUUGCUUAGCCACUCAUCUCGGUGGGAGCUUCGGAGGCAUAGCAUCCUUACCUUUGUCAUGGACGACUCGUACUUGUUGUGGGACUUGGCUUGGAGGGCUUUCGAAAUUCUUUCCCUUGUGGUGUUGCCGGAUGGAGACCAAAUGGUCCUGAUUCUUCUUGAAUCCUCGUCUGCAUUGCAUGACCGAGAGCGCCUUUUCUGUAGGUUGUGCGCGCUCGACUGGUACCACGCAGCCUUACUCCCAUCGAAGAUGCUAAGGGAGUUCGUUGCGAGGAGUGGGAAGGCAUAUACCUUGUCGAAGAAUUCCAUGCCAAAGAUUAUUGCGAAGUCAUCCAUCGGCACAAUUGAGAAGUCGAGCUUCCCAUUCCAUGUCCCAAUCGUAACGUGUAUGCCUCGUGUGGUUCCCGCAAAUUGCUUGAUGGGUGAGUUUACAGCCUUGAUGGUGCCUCCGUGUUGCGUUACCUUGAGGCCUAGACACUUAGCCUCUUCUUCGGAGAUGAAGUUGUGCGUUGCUCCGGUGUCAAGGAGCGCACGAAUGGUUCGGCCAUUGAUGAGCACACUUACGAACAUAAGCCCUUUCCUUAUAGGUGCUGGCGGUUGGUUCAUGAGUGUGCUAAGGCGUUGGAGUGAGCCCAAGUUGUGUUGGGGUUCCUUCGCAGCCGGUGUGUGUUGGCCCUUGAGUUGUGCCAUGAGGACAUUAAGUGACUUUUUCUCCGAGCAGUCGCGCACCCAAUGAGGGCCAUUGCAAAUGAAGCAUGGGCUUUGAGGCUUGGGUGGCUUCUCAGACUUACUUUGCCCGCCCUUGCCACUUGGAGGCUUUUUCUUGCUCCACUCCUUGCAAUUGCGGUCGUUGUCCUCAUGGCUCUCUCCCCCACCUUGGUCGUAGCUAGACCUCUUGUCCUUGAGCUGGGCAGAGUAUUCAGUGAGCGACUCCACAACGGCGAUGGCGUCGUCAAGUGUUUGAACACCAGGCCUAUCAAGCUCGGUCUUGGCCCAAUCCCUAAGGCCAUCUUGGAAGUAGAAGAGCGAAUCCUUGUUGGACAUGUCGCUUAUCUCCAACAUAAGGGUAGUGAACUCGUUGAUGUAGUCCCGAAUGCUACCCGAUUGCUUGAGGUGACAUAAGCGCAUUCGCGCUUCCUUCUCCGCAUUGCUUGGGGCGAACUGCUUUCGGAGUUCUUGCUUGAAGUCGGCCCAAGUGUUGAUGGUGCAAAUGCCCUUACCCAUCUCGUCAUGCUUGCGACGCCACCAUAAUUGUGCAGUGCCUCUAAGAUAGGUGGGUGCAGUGCCCACUUUCGAUGCCUCAUCUCGAACACCCAUGGCAUCAAAGUAUUGAUCGAGCCCAAAUAGGAAGUUGUCCACGAUUGUGGCAGUGCGUGUGCCAUUGUAGGUGUCGGGCUUUGGCACAUCAAUGUGGCGCGCCGCACAUCACUCGAGUUUGCAAAAGCUGGACUUGCGGAGAGUGUGCGCUUGUGCCAUGCUCAAUCCGAGCGGACUUCAUCCACUUCCGCACGGACAGCGCGUAGUUCGUCCUGAACAAAACUACGAAGUUUUAGCAACUCAUCAUGGAAAGAAUGAAACUCACCUCGGAGAGUGUUCGCUUGCUCUUGGAUGAGAGCUUUUGUUGCCACCGUGAACUCGGCGUAUUCUCCCUCGAGACCGUCCACUCUUUCCUCCAAUCCCUCGAGGCUAUCUUGAGCGGCGGACAAUGCGAUUUUGAGAGUAGUCACACGAGGCUCCAACGCAUCCACGGAUGGGGCCUUGGACUAGCCGCGAGUCUUGCCUUGGGCUCGUUCUCCCUCAUGGCCGGCGCUUGGUUCCAGUGGAACAUCCACACCAACAACACCCUCUUGUGCUACGUUCGAAGGGUUGGCCAUUGCUCGUGAGCUAACUUGCGUGUGUGCAAACCUUAGCUCUGAUACCACUUGUCGCGGGAUGAGUAUUGUGCGCAGCUAACCUGUGCGGCACUUAGACAACUUUGCCGAAUGUUGCUAAGUAAGCCUAGAGCUUCUCGAAUUAGAGAAGAGAGCAAUUAAGCCGAAUAAGAGAGAUUGUAUUGCACAAAGAGAGAUUACAAUGCUUGAGUUGCUUACAAUGCUUGUUGUGUUUUGUGGAUGCAAAUGCCUAAUGCCAUCCCAUAUUUAUAGGGGAGGCUUGCCAAGCUCUAGAGAUUCUAGAGAAUUCUACCAUUUCCUAGCUAUUUACAUGUGCUGGAAUUCUAUGGAGAAUUCUAGAAUAUUUACAAGCUCAUUUGUACUAGAGUUGGCUAGAAGUUUCCGGAAGUGGGCCAAGCUAGCACUCUUGGCCUUGUGUUGGCUCUCUAGCCCGAAAUUGUGGGCAAUUGGGCUAGCGAAUUGGGCAGACCGUAACAUAAGGGUGAUUUUAGUAACGUUUUCAAAGAAGAUAUAGGACAAAGAUCAAAACGAAAAAUAAGAAAUUUCCACACAUGCAUGCGUCUGACCAACAGAACAUCGCUUGUGGCAAGGAUCAAUCAAAGAAAUAUAAACUUACAAUUUUAUAAAUUAAGCAUCAAAAUGUUUGGCAAGUUUUAGAUUUGUAGAAUAUUGGGAAAACAGACAAAUAAUCAAUGAAGACAUUGCAAGUUAGCAGAUCAAUUAAACAAAGGAAAUAACUGAUCAAUUCUUUGUUCAAUGGCCACAACAACAGAUUAAAUAUAUCUACAAGACUACAUUAAUCCUAAUGGCAUGGUAGCAUCUCCAUGCAACAUUACAUUAAAAUUUCAUCAUCAAUCAAUUGCGAUGAUAUGAUAUUAAAAACAUUGACUUCAUAAUUUUAUGUAAUUUCCUAUAAAAGAUAUAAUUGAUUUUGAGUUAGUUUAACAUAUAAAGAAAGAGGAAUAAAGAAAUGUUAUCAAUGCGGCAUGUGAUGAGUAAUGAUAGACAACAAAUAUUAAUCAUGCAAUAAUGAAAUAUGUAUUUACAGAAAAAUAUUUGGCAAUAAAAUGAUGCUAUAAAAGUUUAAUAUUAGUUGCAAGAAAAUAAAUUGGCAAAUAAGAUUAACAUAUACAUAUGCAAUGCUUCAAGUUUAUUUUAUCACUUCCCUAACCAUUUUGUAACUACAUAUUGAUUAGAAGUUCAAUUAAUUUCGACCAAAGACUCCAGAGCAAGUCGAAAAGAAAAAAAAUUAGAAAUGAAAUAAGGCAAAAUCAAUAAAAGUAUAUUUUAUAAAAGGAACAGAUACAUAAUAUAAAUUUAGUUUUGAAUUACGUAAUUAUUAAUUUAUAUAGUAAGCGAGUCUUACAGAAAAAUAAGAAUUUUUUAAAAGAAAUUUGCUGAAGGAAAGAGUUUAGUUUGGUUUAGCUUGUGAAGGCUCAAGUAAUUGAUGUUAGGAAAUUGAUGGGUGAAGCAGACACGCAGCUAAAGUGAAAUUGGAAGAGAAUAAAGAAGAAGCACAAAGAGGACACAAGAAAAUUACGUGGUUCGGCUUUUAGCCUACAUCCACGGGCAAAGACAAAAGGAUAAUUUUUCACUAUAUAGGGAGAAUUUCAAGUAAUUUGAGAUAAAUUCCUCACUACCCAAAACCCAAUUUAUUACACCCACACUCUCAUAUAUAAAUAUUGAAAACAAAUACUUAUUUUUCUCUCUUUUAUAAGCUAUUGGAUGCACUCCAAAUGAGAUGCAAAACUCAUUUGCAUGGCUCCAUUUAUAUAGCCAAUUGUUGGCUAACAAAUUCCACAAAUUAGGUUUGAUAGCCACCUAACUCAACCACCUCCAUUUCAUUUUGUCCAUAGUCGGCAAUUACCAAAUCAAAAUGUCAAUGACGGCACCCAUUUUUCUUCAUUUUUUUUUCUUCUUCCUCUUUUGUCUUCUUUCUUCUUUUCUUUGCCCUUUUUGGUGGAGCCUUGACAAUUGAAAGCAAUACAAGCGAAGGAAACAUAAACUUCUAACUUUUACAAAGUAUUCACUAAAAUAUUCGACAAGUUUGAGAUUUUAAAAAAUCUGGGAAAAUAGACAAAUAAUAAAAUCCCUGCAAGUUGGUAGUGCAAAUAAUCAGAGAAAAACAGAGCAAAUAUUUACCACAUUAUAUAUGUAUGUAUAUAUAUAACGAAUGUUGCGAUUUCUGUUUGUAGAGCAAGUGAAUCCAAACACAAACCAGAACAAAACGACGGCGUUUAGAGCAAGGGUUAAGAUUCGUUAUGAAGCCACGUGAGUAAGCUCGUGAUCUCCGUAAGUAAAACGAGGCUCAGCCUUGCGUUAUCUCUGUUUUCUCUGUGAUUUUGUCUCUGAUUCAUUUCUUUCUUUCUUCUUAAUUCUAUUUCUUGGAAGUUUAAGUCUGGUUUGUCGAAUAUUGAGUUGAUUCAGAUUCGGUUCUGUGCUUGUCAUUCAAGAUAUUGGGCAGAGUCUUCGGUUUGACGAGUUAAUUAGAUCGUCCAAAGCUCUACAUUUUUUUUUUAAAACAAAUUAUAAAAGCUAAUUUCAUUGUUACCUCGCAAACUGCUGGGAAGCUAAUUACAGAAUUUCCCCUUACUCUUGAAUGGUCCUGCAAUUUGUAUUCCUUUAUGUGGGAUUGGUUUUUUCUUUGAACAAAAUUUCAAGGAUAAGAAACCUUACCCAUCGAUUAACUGCGAUAUUUAUCCAACCUCUGAUUUUUCUUAAUAUUUCUCACUUGUUCAUUUCAUGGCACUUUUAGCCGCUACAUUGGCAUUUUCUGCCAUUUGCUUUUGUUCAUUGAAGUAAGUUAGCUUAUGAAAUUGCUUUUUAAUAAAUGUUCUUCAGAGGGAUUGUGAAAAGGCCAAAUCAACUGAGAUGAUCGGGUUUUCUAGAUCAGCCAUCUCUGUCCUCAACGGUGCUGAACAGUCAAUUACUCAGACACCAAACUCUGACCUGAUUCAUAUGGAUGUAGACCAAAGCUUCUUGCCUGCACCAUGUCUGGUCAAAGCUGCUAUCUUUGAAAGUUUUGCAGGACAAAACAUGUCUGAGUCAGAUAUUGACGUCACCCCUAGCGUAAGACAUAUAUAUCAAGAGCAAUUUUGGUUUCUCAGUCGAUUCAGAUACAGAAUUCACUUAUGCAGGUUGCUCUCAAUCUCUGUUUAAUAGGCUAGUCCUCUGCUGUAUCCUAGAAGGUGGACCAUAAUGCUUCCAAUGGGAACUAUGUUUCUGCUGCAAAAUUUUUGAAAGCGAACAUUGUGAAUAUCCCUACUGAAUAUGAAGUGGGCUUUAAGGUGACAGAGAAGACACUUGUGACAAUACUCGAGACUGUAAAGAAGCCGUGGGUAAACAUUUCUGGUCCAACCGUCAAUCCAACUGGCUUGCUUUACAUCAACAAAGAGAUGUGUUUGUGCAAAAUAUGGGGCAAGAGUUGUGAUUGAUACUUCAUUAUCGGGAUUGCAAUUCAACUACGAGGGUUGGGGUGGCUGGAAUCUGGAAGGCUGUUUAUCGAAGCUGUAUCGUCUGUCUCUCUGUCUCUCUGCUCGGAGGGCUGUCUCCGAAGAUGCUUACUUACUGGAGCCCUCACAUUUGGAUUUCUGGUUCCAAACCAACGUCAUUUAGUUGAUGCAUUUAGUAGCUUUCCGAGAUUAAGAAUAUAUUUUAUGCUAUUAAGAAUACAUUUUAUGCUAUUAAGAAUACAUUUUUGAUAAAUUAACCUCAACUCUAAAUUUUAAUUUAGAGAAUGUCGAGAAGAGAUUUGAUUUUUCAUAUAAAAAAAAUUAGAAAUGAAAUUAGUCAAAAUAAAUUACAAGAACAACAAUAAGAAUAUAUGUUGUAAAAGCCAUAAAUACAUAUAAUAUAAAUUUAGUUUAAGAUUAAGUAAUUAUUAAUUUGUAUAGUAAGAGGGUCUUGUAGGACAAUAAGAAGUUUUUAAAAGAGAUUUGCUAAGGAACAAGUUUAGUUUGUGAAUGCCAAAGUAAUUGAAAGCAAUGCAAUUGGAGGAAAUAUAAAGCAAUCAUCAUAAUAUUUGACAAUCUUGAGAUUUUUAAAAAGUCGGGAAAAUAGACAAAUAAUGAAAAUAAAGUAAAUAAACAAAGUAAAACAGGGCAAAUAUUUACCAUUAUACGUACAUUUUUUAUUUUUUAUUUUUCCAAAAACGAAUGUUGCCAUUACUAAUCUAGAAUGUCAGCUAUUGUAUAGAAGCACACUCUAGGAUAUUUGCUGAAUUUACUAUAAAUAGAGUUGAAUUUAAAUAGAGUUUACUAUAAAUAGAGUUUCCUCUCACUCUAGGAUAUUUGCUGUGGUCCUGCGAUUUGUAUUCUUUUAUGUGAGAUUGAUUUUUUUUCUUUAAAUAAAAUUUUGGGAGAUGGGAAAUCUCAUCUAAUAAAUACAAAUUUUGAAUUUUAUUAUUAUUUAACCUAGAUAAUUAGGUAACUAAAGUGCAUGCAUAACUAGUGAGACCGUGCCUAGCUAAAUAUAUGAUUCUAAUUUCGACUUUGAUUUCAAUUUUCGCUGAACAUAUAUCUAUUCCAAAUAAAGAGUUAAUGCACUUUUCACUUCUCUGCCAAGGAGGUCCUAGGGAAACUAACAACAGCAGAAAAACAAAUAAAAAAUCUGAUACAGGCGUAGAAUAUACACAAAUAAGUAUAUCUUGAGUUGCGUAUAUACACAAGUAAUGUUCUGCGGAUCUGUAGAAGCAAUCUCAACCAUCCAAUGUUUUUUAAAUUUUAAUGAACAUAGAUUUUAAAUGUUGGACAGUUUCGAAAAAUAAACUUAGCAAAAUGAUAUUAUUAACAAAUAAGGAGCACAAAGGUAAUUAAUCUUGGUGUGAAAAUAUUUUCAUGGGACCAACAAAGUGUUGGCUCCACUGGCAAUGGAGUCCCCUUAAGUGGGUUGAUUGGGUUUGCUCCCCAGUUCGAGUCGUAGGGAAGUCGCCUUUGUUGGGAGAACCUGUGCCUCUCGGUUCGAGCAGGGACUUCUAGUCUGGGUUGUGGUACGGGCUUAAAGGUGUCUCCCACAGUUGGGGCCCUCCCCAGGAUACCUCGUGGUCAAAACCAAAAAAAAAAAAAUAUUUUCAUGGGUGUACUAAGAAAAAAAACAAAGAUAAUAGAAGGAAAGUUAUUGAGAAGUAUUUUGGUAUUUACAAAAGUGUCAUCGCCUUUUUUUUGGCUCAUGAAGUUGACUGUUGUUUGUUGCUGCUGCAUAAUUGGCUUUGGGCUGCCAUAGAGUGGUUGUGCUGGUGUUGGUAGGUUGGAUUGGUUGCAACUUGUAAGAUGUACACUUUUUGGCAGUGUGUCCUUGAAUCCUGCAGAGUUGGCAAAAGCCAAGGUAGGGACGUUGCUGUCGAUUCAAAUUGUUGUUUUGAGAUUGUCCUGGAUUCUGAUUGGUGUUGGUUGAACUUUGAUUGGCAUAGUUGUUACUAUUGCGCCAGUUGUUAUUGGUGCGAGUUGAAACAUGAGCAGUGAUGGGGAAGGCAGUUUGUGGUCUCGUGAUGUUGAGCGUGGCUUCAAAGUUGAGGAGUUUCUCAUGGAGUUCUUCAAAGGAGAUUGGAGUAUCUCUUGCUUGAACAACUCUGACUAACUUUUUGUAGUCAUCACCAAGUGUCUCUAGGAUCUCAUCGAUGAGGUCAUCAUUAUCAAAUGGUGACCCAAGUAGAGCUAACUCAUCAGCUCGUGCCUUUACAUUUUGCAGAAAUUCAGUGAUUGAUUCAGGUCCUUCAGUCAUUUGUUUGAUUUGAUUUUUGACUUGCUUGAUUCGACCACGUGAGGGUUUGGCAUAUGUGUUGGCAAGUGUGGUCCAAGCUUCUUGUGAUGUUUUGGUAUUAGCAAUAAACGGGAUUAUAGAGGGAGAGAUUGAUCCAAUGAUUGCAUUUAAAAUCAAUUGGUCUUGUCGGAUCCAGAGAGUAUAUGCAAGAUUUGGGGAUGUGCUGUUGUUGGCUAUUACAGUUGUAGAAGGGCAUGGUUUAGAGCCAUCUAUAUAUCCGAGGAGAUCAUAGCCAACGAAAAGUGUUUGGAACUGUAACUUCCAAGAUAGGUAAUUGGUGGUAGUUAAUUUGAGAGGAGUUUGAGCUGCGACAUUGAUGGUGAUGAGUGUGUUGUUGGAAUCAUUGGUGUUUCAGAUAGUAGUGUUUGAAUGAUUGCUUGCCAUUGCAAGAAUUCAGUAGAAAGAGGGAGAAGAGAAAAGAAAAAUGGAGAGCUUUAAUGCCCUGAUACCACAACAGAGUAAAGGAUUUUGAGUGAAUACUUUUCCAUUGAUUGUAAGACUUUAUAUACAGCAAUAUACAUAACAACCUUGCCUAUUUUAAGAGAUUAGAUAACAGAAAAAUAUAUUUUACAUUUGAAUGAAUUUGAGUGAUAAACUAGAUAGUUCCCAUAUAUUAGGAGGAGAAUCUGCAGACAUAUCUAAUUUACUCAUUCAAACUCAAAAUCCUUUACUCUGUUAUAAUCUGGGUCUUUUAAUUAUCAUCUAACUAAUGCAUGUGCACUAGUUUCAUUUAUGUCUAUCACUGAAGAGUAAUGUUGCUUGGUUGAAUAGUGUCAUAUUACAUCACAAAAUUAAACUCACUCGAUUUUCAUUGCCACAUGUAGCUCAAAAGUGCAUGAACAUUGACCAUUCAUCUAACUUAUACUAAUUAAUCAAUACGAAUAUCAGUUCUUAGUACCCGGCAACAUCCGUCCAUUAGAGUGAAACUCCCAAUGAUUUCAUCUACACAAAAUAAAUAUCGUAUGUACUUUGAAUAUGAAGUUUCAGCACCUGAGAAAGCUAGCCAUUACUUACAUAUUGCAGCCAUCCACCCCAACAAGAAAUCCAUUAAUCUACGGUUAAUUUGACACAAGGUAUGAUUUUGCAAUGGCCAAUUGUAUAUAGUCGUAUGGUAUUUCCAUAUUAUAAAUGCUCCUAAUGAAAAUGAAGCAAAUACAUAAUACUACUACUAUGACAAAAUUUUCAUGAUUGCCAACUGUCAAUACCAGCUACCUCUUAUACGUGCCUUAUUGAGCAUGGAAACACCUUAUAUUAUAAUUUCCGUUCACCAUAGAAUAAGUUCAGGGCCAUUAAUUCAACAAUUACCAAACCAAUAUCCCAACAAUGGUUUGAUUAUUAAUCUCAGCAAUAAAAGUUCCGCAAUAUAAAUUUCAUUCUCUUAUGCUGAGUUGCUUAUUGAGAUGAUGAAUACUCAAGGGUUCUUCCUCGAGAAAUUUCAGCAGACACCUGAUUCAUUCUAUCAAAUAUUAGCAUCACUAAUCACUAAAUGAUAUAAGAUAGUUCUGUUUUGAAAAAUCAAUAUAAAUCAAUUAACUUAGAUUUUCUUAGUCUUGGAGCACAAUGCGUGAUGAUUUGAUGAGAAAUAUUAAUAUGCAUGCAUCCCCCUGCGUUCGUUAGAGCUGCUUGACACUUUCUUCUUUCUUUCUUUUGGGUACUGUUUUAUAUUUUUAAUCAAUCAGAUUGAGCUGCAUGUUUGCUUUUAGUCCAAACUGAAAUCAGACAUUAAGUAUUUUUGCUAGAAUGAAUGCAACCAAGAUUCUAUGGGAUAUGUAUGAAGAUGAUGUAAUAAAGUGCUUUUGAUAAAUUUCCCUGGUCGGUUUACUUCACUAACCUCAACAAGCAAAUUCUCCCAAUGACCCUCAAACUCUUGUGCACAAUUAAAAUAAUUUCAAUUUUAUAUAUACAAAAAUAAGAAACUCUCAAAUAUACUAUUUGAUAAUCACAAAAAUAACAAUUCACUCCAGUAAAUCAUAUUACAUUCUAUAUUGCAAUUCUUUUUAAAUUUAAUUUAAUAUUUUAUAUUAAAUAAAAUAAAAUAAAUAAUAUUAUUAUAUUUAACUAAAUAAUAAUUUGCAUUAAUCAUAAGUUAAAAUUACUUAAAAAUAAUAUUAUUAUAUUAAUAGAGAAUUAAUAAAAAUUACUAUAUGCUAUCUUUAUUUAAUAAUAUAAUAUUAUUAUAUUUAUUUUAAAAAUAAUGGUACCAUAUUUAUUUAAUAUUAAUAAUUAAUAAUAAUAAAUAGUUUAUUCUAAGAAAAUAUUAAUUUUGCACUAAAUAAUAUUAUAUAAAUAAAUAAUAAAUUUAAUAUAAUUAUAUUAAAUAAAAUAAAAUAAUGUUUCAUUUUAUAUUUACCCUUCUUUUUAUUAAAUUUACUAUAAUUAUAUUUAACAAAUAUUUAAAUAAUAUUAUUAUAUUUAACUAAAUAAUAAUUGGGUUUGACUCUAAGUUUAAUUUACUUAAAAAUAAUAUUAUUAUAUUAAUAGAGAAUUAAUAAUAUUACUAUAUACCAUCUUUAUUUGAAAAUAUAAUAUUAUUAUAUUUAUUUAAAAAUAAUAGUAUUAUAUUUAUUUAAUAUUAAUAAUUAAUACUAAUAAAUAAUUUAUUCUAAGAAAAUAUUAAUUUCAUACUAUGUUAAUAGUAAAAAUAUUUCAUUUAUAUUGCCCUUAUCAACAAUUUUUAAUUUAUAUAAUUAAAAUUAAAAUUAAUAAAAAAUUGUGAUGUUCAUAAUUAAGAAUAUUAAUAGUUAUUAUAAAUUUACAAAUAUAAUAAAAUAAAUGUUUAUUCAUUAAAAUAUAUUUUUUAUUAACUUUGUAAUUAAAAACUAUAAUUCUUUAAAAUAAAGAUAAAAUUGUAAUUUGAAACUAUUUACUCCCAAUCCAAGACAAAAUAAACACAUAAAUUGAAUUCUGAUCUUCAUUUCAUGCUUCCAUUCCAGUGCAAAUAAACAAUCUACUCUCAAUCCCACUCCACACUCCCACUCCUGAGGAUUCCCACUCUAAUCUAAAAAGUAAACGCAACCUAAGUGUAAACAGUUCCACUUUAGAUAUAUAUAAUGAUGAUGAAAUUUUGUUUUCUCUGAACAAUCAUUGUAGUGUUUUAUAAUGAGUAAUUGGCUCAAUAUUAAUACAAAACUAUUUUAACAUGUGACAUAUUCUAUCGUAGUGCGCUUCAAUACAGACUUUUAACUCAAAUAGAAAAGUUUCCAUUUUCUGCAGAGCAUUCUGCAAAAUGUUUCUUCAAAUCUUUCUUCAAGAAUUAAUUUUACGAAUCUUUUUUACUUGAAAUCUUAGAAAAGAAAAAUUAACCAGAUUAGAUUAGAGAUAUACAUAAAUUUGGUACCCGUUUAAAACGCGAGUAUGAUUAAUUUAAUAAGAGAGAACAAGAAUUGAGAGUGUCCCAAAGAGAGAAAAUUAGAUUAUAAAAAUUUGCAUGCAUGCAGGCAUAUCAUAUGUUAAUAUUAAUUUUUUGUUGCUGAAAAUUAAUUAAUUAAUUCCACUCCUUCCUUUUUUUUUAAUUUUGUGUCGUGCACCACAUGUCAAAGGCUGGUGGCCACAAAGCCAAUUCAAGUUGGCUUUGACAAGCCGGCCAAAGAAAAUGGUGAUGCCGGCCAAAGAAAAUGGUGCCAUCCAAAUGGAGAUACAUGAGUAAGGGUCACCCAAAAUAAAACACCUUCUCUUGUAUUAACCUUUGCUAGCCGUCGAAGUUAAAAAAAUUUUUGAACAAGUAAAAGCAGUUCCAACUCAAAAUCAAUAGUACGCAAUUGGGUUGUUUUAAAUAUUUCUGAAUUUCAGUCUAAGUUGAAUUGUUUAAUUGUGUAUGCACAAACUAGCUUUAUCACUUCUUUUAUAUUGAUACCCAUAAAUUUCAACCUUAUUUUAUGUUGAUGCACAAUCUAACUUAACAAAAAGAAUAUUCAAAUUGUCUCAAAAUGUUUUAAAAAAAAAAUCAUAUACAGUAGUUAAUUUUUCUUCUUCUUCACUCCUGUAUCCAGCUCCAUUCCCCUUUUUUUUUGCCGUUAUGCUGCCCAGCUGUUAGGUUUUAAUUACGCUAAUCUAACGGUUGGGAUUUGUAAAUGAAUAAUGAAGUGAUGUUCGGCUACUAUCUGAGCCCAUUGCAUCAAAUUGGUCUUGUGAUUUUUUUCUCUUUGUUCUCUGUAACGCAUGAGUAGUUCUGAAAAUAACGAGAGAGAGAAAGUAUCAUCUUAUUCCUUGUUAGUUUCUCCGUGUGAGCUCUGUAAAAUUACUUUGAAUCAUAAAUAAAACUCAUUUUGGUCGAUUCUCCCUUGGAUGUAAGUUGUGCCUCAUUGCACAGUUGAACCACGUAAACAGUGCUGGUUUCUGUGUGUGAUUGUUUGUUAAUCUUGCUUAUUUCUUUUUUCCUAAUGGCUGAAAUCUUGCUUUAAGUUCUCAAGUCAUCUAUUGAGUUCAUCGAGGUCAUUCAAUUGUUCAUAUGUAGCUGGUUUGAUCUUGAACAGGGUCUUGGGCAGUGUUUUGAUGGCUUGAUUAGCGGCUAUCUUGACAGUACAAUUGGUAUCAGAACUAGUUCUUCAGAUCAAGAUCCAAGUAUGGCUACAUCAAAGAUUGAUCUCGAGAAGUUCAAUGGAAAGAAUGACUUUAAUAUACAAAACUUGUAUCUAAUGGCUUACAUUUGGAGAUGAUGUAAUAAAGUGCUUUUGAUAAAUUCGCCUCGUCGGUUUACUACUUCACUAACCAUUAAUCAGCAAAUCCUCCUAGUGACCCUCAAACUCUUCUACGCAAUUAUAAUAAUUUCAGUUUUAUAUAUACAAAAAUAAACAGCUCUCAAAUAUGUUAUUUGAUAAUGACAAACACAACAACUCACUCCAAUAAAUCUCGUAAUAAAUACAUGGUCUCUAUAUUGCAAGUCUUUUUAGGACUCAUUCAAAAAGAAAACUUAGGGAAUGGCAUUGCAAGAAUAUGGAAUCAGAAUAACAGUGAUACAAAGAGAAAAAAAAGGGAUGGUCUGAUUGCUUUGUUUGCAAAAUUAUUGGUGCGGGGGUCUACUUCUUUUUGUUUCACUUUAUCAAUUAAUUAGCGAAGCAAACAUGUAAUCAUUUGAAAAAGGAUCACUAGCACCAGCUUAGACAUAUUAAUUUAGAUGAAAAUGUAGCGUUAUUAAGUUAUGAAUUCAUUAACUUGAGGUAUUAAUAUUUACUAAUGAUGAUGAUUAAUUUAUUUAACUUGUCAUAGUCUUCAAUUAAGAAUGAAGUGCAAUCAAUUUAGAAUGAAUGCAAUCAAUUUAUGGAAUAUAUAUAUAUAUAUAUUUUUUACUUUUUAAGAUUUUAAUUCUUAGGAUUUCAUUUUGCUCAGUUUCGAUUAUUGAUGUUGUUGAAGAGGGCAAUAAAAGCUAGUUAAAUUUCAUCAAAGGCUUGUAUCUCAUCUCACAAAUUGGCAAUGUAGACACUGCUGUCUUUGCAUCUCAGGGAAGGAUUAGGCUUGGCUGUGUCAUUCACAAAUCAGAUGGUGGAUUUUUGGCUGCAAGAUGUGUUGGCAGGUUUGGAACAUUUGGUCCGAGGGAGGCUGAAGCUCUUGGUAUCCGGGAGGCUCUUAGCUGGCUAAAGGAGUACCAGCUUCCAUGUGUUAUUGUUGAGAUGAACUGCCUUCAAGUUUUUCAAACUCCGACAGAGGGUUUUUAUGGACCCAAUGGCUUUGACCUCAUCAUUGAGGAUUGCAGAGAGUUAUCUCGAGCUAUAGGAGAAGUGAAAUUCUCGUUUGUUCGUAGAUCUGCGAAUGUUGCUGCUCACUCUGUUCUGAGGGCAGGAUAUUCUAUGACAGAUUCUCGAGUGUGGAGUUUUGUUCCACCUCCAUGGUUGCUAAAUAAUUUGUAAUUCAAUUUUUGCUUAAUGAAAUUCCUUUCAAAAAAAAAAAUAAUAAGGACGAUUCAAUAUAAGUAAAUAGGACAAUAAUACUUUUGACAUUCAUGUAGAGCGCACACAUUCAUGUAAAAUUCUUAAACCUUAAUGUAUAGAACACUCUUCAUCAAAAUUCAUUUAAAAGCCUAUUUCUUUGACUUAGAUUUCGAGGAGGUUCUAUGAGAAUAACCAACUGCUGAAAAACAAAUAAAAAAACCAAAUACAUGUGUAGAAUAUUCUCAUUAAAUUUUAAUUUUUUGCACAAACAUGGCCUGCAUAUAUACACAAAUAACUGCUCUACGAAUAUGUAGAAGCAAUCUCAAUUGUCCAAUUUUUUUUUCAAAUUUUAACGAAUAUAAAUUUUUUAUGUUGGAUAACUAUGGAAAAUAAGAUUAGGAAAAUGAUAUUAUCAACAAAUAGGGAAAGCAAAGGCGGUUAAUAUUGGUGCGACGAAUAUUUUUAUGGGUGUACUAAGAAAAAUAAAGAUAAUAAAAGGAAUGCUAUUGGUAACAUCAAUAGCAUUCUUUCAUAUGAUGCACAAAUUACCUUUAUCACUUCUUUCAUAUAAAUACUCAUAAAUUUUACCUAAAUUAUCAAAAAAAAAAGAAGAAAAAAAUCAUAUAGUUAAUUUUUCUUCUUCUUUACUCCAUUAUUCAAUAGGAGUAUAAUAAACUAGGAGAAAAGAGAAAUUAAGGAGAAAAUUAGGGUGAUUACUGCAAUGAAAAGAACUCAGGCAAGUGCUUAUUUCAGAUACAUGCGUGGCAUUCAUUAAUUUGACCAAAAAUAAAUGAAUUUAUUUGUAUUUUAAUCAAAAUUGAGGGACAUCAACAAAAUUUUUCCACUCCAGGUAUUUAUCAUUUUCUCGUUAAGAAAAAAAAAUUGCAUAAAAUUAAGAAACCAGUAGUCACUGAACGGGAGAAACAGAGUGAAGAAGAAACCCUAGCAACAAUCCUAGAAGAAGAAGAAUAUGAUGAUGAAGAUACGGCCAUGCCCAACGUUAAGCACAACCCUAAAACAAAAACAAAAGACAACUCUUUGGACCCGAGCGAUGCCUCUGACUCCGACUCGGAUUCUAACUCAGAAGACGAAGCAAAACAGAACAUUGAGCUUCAAAACUAGAGUAUCAGCUGUCCAAUGAACCUUCCAAUUACGACACCCAUGUUCAAGUAACUUCAAUUCGCAUACUUAUUCAGUGAUUUUGUGGAUACUCAUUUGCUUGUUGUUUCUUAAUUGGGUUGCGAUAAAAAUGGCUUUUUUUUCUUCAGUAUAUAAAGGUUUUGAGAAAACUGGGUGAGAUAGAGAAGCUGAGACAAGCUAGGGAAGCGAUGAAAGAGAUUUUUUCCAUUGACUCCUGCUAGGUGGCAAGAAUGGGCGAGAGAUGAAGCCUCUAUUUCAACUGGGUAUCUGUCAUUUCCUUUUUGCAGUGGUUUUCGAUUUUUUGAACAAAUAUUUUUUUCGCUUAGAGAUAUAGAUGUUUAUGUUCAUUAUUUGCUAAUGUAAAAAGGAACAAAACCUGCUUAAAAGGUAUUAAAGAAAGAAAAAGAGAACCAAUUUGAAGAAGGGGAUACUUAUAGUGGGAGUUCUAUUCUUUGGGGUUUAAUUGAUGGGAGAAGAAACACCUUUAUAUGUUUACAGAAUUAGACAUUCGAUCGUUGAGUUAGUUGAGGAAGAUAUUUAAUCACAAUGUAUGAUGUUGUUUGUGUUGGCCUCAGCUAAUUGUUAAGAUUUCAUACUUUCAUUCAACAAUGCAAUAGACUUUGGUUGGGUCCACCUUAGUUGGGUGUUCUGAGGAACCAAUGAGUGUCUUGAGAAAACUUGGGUGGAGUGUGGAUCAUUUUCAGGAUUCAGUUUCCAAGAAAGCAAAAACGAAGUCGGAGUCGUAGUUUAAAUUAAUUUAUGUUUUUGUCUUUUUCUGUGAGCCCAGUGAGCUUUUGUUUUCACUUUGUUCUCUUUUGCUUCUUUCCCUCCUUUUCCUGUUGUUUCUUGACAAUCAAGCAGAUCAGGAUUAAGUGUUUACUUUUGGUGUAAUUAUUCACCCUAACUCGAAUAAUACAUAGUUUUAGUGCUAUCAAAAUAGGAAGUGAAUUAAUAUCUGAAGCUAACUUGGGAGUGGAAUGUGUGUUAGUAAAAAUAUGCUAUUAUGGUAGAUAGAAUUUGCAUUUUAGGUAAGACAAAUAAUUACCGCUGUUAAUUUAUUUCAAUAAGUUCGUACAUCAUUCGAUAAUAAGUCGAAGAUUUUAAUGGUUUUGUUUCCUGAAAAUUUGUCAUCAGUGCAUGGACAAAGUUCAAUGGAUGAACUUCUCUUAGUUAAUUCGAGUUCUGUAAGAAACACUAAUCUUGCUCUGUACUUUGGAGUAUUUUAAUAAUUGAUGUUAAGAUUUGCUAAUGUGAAAAGGAAGAAAACCUGCUUAAAGGUAUUAAAGAAAGAUAAAGAGAACCAAUUUGGAGAAGGGAAUCCUUAUAGUGGGAGUUCUAUUCUUUGGGGUUUAAUUGAUGGGAGAAGAAACAGCUUAUAUGUUUACAGACAUAGACAUUUGAUUGCUGAGUUAGCUGAGGAAGAUAAUUAUUCACAAUGUGAUGGGUGUCGAAGCCAACAAAAAUAAAUUCCUACUCUAAAUAAAUUGUGUAUAGUGAUUGAGCAGGGUCGUGUCCACAGAGAUCGGUAAUUAUUUAAAUCCUUUUGAAACGUAAAACGUAAAAUGGGGGAAUUGUUGACAAUAAUAAAAAUCAAAUUAAAAUAACAAGAAUGCAAAUUAAAGUUUUAAUUCAAAUUGGAGAAAGCUCUGGUUGAAGGAAUUAACUCAGCUUGAUUCGACUACUGAUCAUUGAUUCAAAUAUAUAUUAUUAUUACUUAUGAAUAGACCGGUUAUAGCUACUGAGACCCUCUAAUAGCCAAUCUCUCCUUAAUUAGUUGAUAACCAAGGUACGACCGUUGGAUAUUUCCCUAAUCAAUAGACAACCCUAGAUACGAUCAUAGGAUUUAAUCAAUUGACAGCCUGAAAAACCAGAGAGACCCAAAUCCUAAUCAACACAUAUGAUGAUUCAUUUAAAUUAGAUUGUUUAUUCUCACAACACAACUCUCUGCUAUGUUAUUUGUCACAAACAUUAAAUUCUUCAUACGAUGAAUCCUUUAAUUGACAAUAGAUUAAGUUGAUAAUUAAAUAGUGGCCAAUUACCUAAUUAACAAAUAUAAUCAUAAAACUAAUUCAGAGAAUAAACAAAUACCCAAAAAGUAAUAAAACAAUUAAAGCAUAAGAAAGAUCUCACAGUAGUGAUGAAUCAAAGCUUCGUUAUCCUUCAACCAGAAAAAUAGGUUUAGCUCUUCAUAGAGAGAAGAGAAAAAUUAGAUCUAGGGUUUCUUUCUUUUUCUCCAAUCCAAAAUUCCCUCUUUUUCACAAUAGAUUCCUCCCUUAAAUACUUUCUCUCUCUUCUCUUUUAGAAUUCUAUUUAAAAUAAAAUCCUAAUAUCUGAAAUAUUAAAUUCGUAAUUACAAAAAUAACCAAAAAUACAAAACACGUUAAACUAAAAACUGCAGGUCCGCAGUUGACAGCACGCGCCCACGCCUUAUCAACAAAGUUCUUCUGACGCUCAUAAUUUCUCCAAGAGAACAAUCAUCCUUAAACAUCAUCUUAUAGCUCAAUUUUAUCAUCAAUCAAUAGAAUUGCACCUACAAAAGUAAAACACAAGUAAAUCACUAUUAUUAAGUGCAAAACAUUGAUAUUAAGGGAAGUAAAUAAUGCAAAACUAGUGCAUAAAUUGCACUCUAACAAAUUCCCCCACACCAAGAUGAUGCUUGUCCUCAAGCAUAUAACUCAAGACUAAUCUCAAAUCUCCACUAAAUUCUCAUCUCAACUCAUCCAAAAACAAUUUUAAGCAAGCAUACCUCAAGAAAUUAAGUCGAUCAACAUUCGAGAGACAAGGAUUUUUAAAGCAUAGAAUCUCAUAAGAUAGAAUAAGAACAUUCAACGACCAAGAAGAUCCAUUCAAAAUUCAAGUGCAACAAGAUUUAAUAACCCUCUCAAUGACUUCACUCCAUGCACUCAAAGUGUUUAGGGUAUCAUUUAUGCACUCAAAUCAAAUCAAAGAAUGCUAUUACCAUAAGCUUGCUCAUAUAUCACAUCUCAAUCCACAAAACAUGAAUAAAAUGCAAAAAUCUAAGGGUCUUAAAAGGGUUGUAAUGGGGUUAAAUAGGUUAAAUGAAAAAGAAAGGUCUAUGAAAGAAAAAAAGAUCAAAAUGAGAAGAAUGAACUCAUUGAAUGAACUUAUGAUAUCAAAAUGCUUAUUUCUACUCAAGUCACCACGAAUGUAAACAUUUUUUUUUCUUCUUUUUCUCUUUUUUUUUGAUUUUUUUUUUUUGAUUUUUCUUUUUCUAUUUUUUUUUCUCUUUUUCCUUUUUUUUUUUUUGAAUCAAACAAAAGAAAUGAACCUUGCACAAUUUAAUUCAAGCAUAAUGCUUGUUGAUCUAAUUGAGAAACUUUAAUACAAGGUAGAAAGAGCAACAAAAUAUAUACAAAAUAUAUCCACACAAUGAGUCCAAAAAUCUCCUUAAAUUGAGGCUCAAAAAGAAGAAAAAUGGUUAAGUAGACGGAGAGAAUUAGAUGGGUAAUGGUUAAGGCUCAAACAAAGAUAGUAAAUCAAGGUCUUCGGGUAGAGAAAAAAAAAAGAAAAUGCAAGAAUAGAAAAAUGGUAAAUGGUUUGCCCUUAUCAUUUUAAUGAAAAAAAUCCCGUAAUGUGGCUUCAACAUGCAUAACAAAGCAAGUUCUAGAAUAAACAAACUAAGAUUGAUAUUCACAUAAUAAAAAUAAUUAGAGCAAAGUGGUUGCUCAUAGGCUCAAAUCCUCACAAGGUUGGUAAAUUUGCCAUCAAAUCAUGUACACUCUUCAAAUGAAUCAACCAUCAAUAGUGGUGUAGAAUGGGAAGAAGGUAUGAGUGAAGGAAAGGUAAAAAUGAUAAGAAGUGAGAAAGAUGUAUGUAGUAAUAUGAAAAGUGAAAGAUAAAAUGUGAGUGAUGAGAGAGUAUGAUAGAAUAAAAAUAGAUGUAAAUAAUUUGAGAUAGAUGGGAAAAAAGUAAUGAGAAAGAAAAGAAAAGAAAAAUAAUAAUAUAUGAAGCAUACUAACUCCAAAAUCAUUUAAGGAUGAGUAGAAUGAAAAUAGAUGAGUAGAGUGAAAAUAAUAAUUCCAGGCAUCAAUAAUGCAAAAAUCCCUCCCCCACACCAAUAACUUACAUUGUCCCCAAUGUAAGAUAAUCAAAGCUCACAUAAAAAUUAAAGCGUAAGGAUAAAAGAUUAAAGGCAAAAACUUCCCUGAAUUGUGAGCUUUGAUCCUCAUAACGUCUAUGGGCUUGGCGGGAAUGGUGGGAUAAAUCCCACACUCUUGAAGUAUGCGGCCAAAUUCUGCUCCAUCUUGUCACGGAUUUCGAUUCACGCGGCUGGAAUGUAGGUCGUAGGCUGGUUGCGGACUAUUGCUGCUCGACUGGAGCUUGCUACGCGGCUUGGGGCUGGUUGCGCACUGCUGGUUGCGUGCAGGAUGCUGUCUGCGUGGCUGCGUUGCGCGCGAGAGCUGCUGCGUGGCUGUGUUGCUGCGGGACUGUUGCGCGCGAGAGCUGGUUCUGAGUUGCGUUGCGGGGCGUGCUCGUUGCUGGUGCUUGCGUUGCGCGCGACUGAUGCUGCAUUCUCCGGCUGGCUGGUUUGCUGCUGGCGUGCUGCAAACGGCUGGAGAAGAAAACAAUUUCUGGAAAAUUAGGGAUUUUGUGAACAAUAAAUUUUUUUUUUUUUAACAAUGAUUUUUUUUUUGAUUUUUUUUAAAUAUAUAUAUAUAUAUAUAUAUAUAUAUAUAUAUAUAUAUAAAAGAAAGAACAAAAGAAAUAAAUAAAUAAAAUAAAAUGAAAUAAAAUCAAUUAAAAUUAAAUUUUUUUUUUUUUUUUUUUUAUAAGCACGUGGGCACGCCUUAAAACUAUUUUACUUUAAAAAUUACAGAAGUACUUAUUAGUUAAGACGUGGGCACGCCUUAUCAAAAAUUUUCUUCUGACCAAAAUAAGCAAACACAUUAUUUAAAAAAAUUUGAAUCAAAAUUAAAAGAAGAUAUAACAAAAACCAAAAUAAAUAAAUCACUUGGGUUGCCUCCCAAAAAGCGCCUUUGUUUUAUGUCUUUGGCUAGACACAUUUAUGCAUCAAUCUCCAUAAUUUGGACUUUCGAGAGCCACAUCCUCCACAAUAUUCACCGAAAAACCUUCAUAAAAAGGUUUUAAGCGAUGACCAUUAACCUUAAGAACUCUGUCAGAGGUCGGGCUCCGAAUCUCAACUGCACCAUGAGGAAAAACAUUAGUAACAAUAAAAGGUCCAACCCAACAAGAACGUAAUUUACCCGGAAAAAGUUUAAGUUUAGAAUGAAAAAGAAGAACUUUUUGACCAACAGAGAACUCCUUUCUCAAAAUCAUUCUAUCAUGAAAUGUCUUCGUCUUUUCCUUGUAAAAAAUUUCCUGCGCUAUAAGGUUAAUAACAUCCACAGAAAAUACCGAAUGUUCCUCACUAGGAUAUUUCAUGGCAUCAUUCAUAUUGAAUUCUAUAACCUCUCCAUCAAACUCCAUAGUGAGAGUCCCUUUAUGUAUAUCCAUUUUAGUCCUAGCAGUCUUAAGAAAAGGUCUUCCUAGUAAAAUUGGGACAGAAUUAGAGGAGUUAUCAUCUUCCAUAUCAAGUACAUAAAAAUCAGCAGGAAAAACCAACUCAUUAACUUGUACUAAGACAUCUUCUAAUACCCCAUCAGGAUAUGCAUUAGACCUGUCAGCUAGUUGAAUUAUCACACCAGUUUCUUUUAAUGGACCAAUAUUCAAAGAUGAAUAAAUGGAACGAGGCAUGACAUUAAUAGAAGCUCCUAGAUCUAACAUAGCCUUUUCAACUCUAACACUACCAAUUUUACAAGGGAUAGUAAACAUACCUGGAUCCUUGCACUUAGGAGGUAGUUUCUUUUGGAGAACUGCUGAAACAUUCUCCCCCAUGUGAACUUUUUCAUCUCCUCUUAAUUUUCUUUUGGAGGUGCACAGUUCCUUAAGGACUUUAGCAUAUCGAGGUAUUUGUUUUAUAGCAUCUAAUAAAGGAAUAUUUACCUCAACCUUGCGAAAUGUCUCAAGGAUGUCUUUCUCUUGUUCCUCCUUCUUGGAUUUUGUAAACCGGCUUGGAAAAGGAGGAGGUAUCACAAUAGGUAGGGGUUUCGCUCUGGUGGGUUGUGCAUCUUGAGAUUUAGGCAUCAAUUCAUUCUUCUCAAGCUCAUCCUCUACAUGCUUUGUCACUUUCUUACUAGGCUCUUGCAACUCCGUCCCACUUCUAACGAUGACAGCACUAACGUUUUGCUUUGGAUUCACCUCAGAUUGUGAAGGCAAUCUCCCUAAUACUUGAGACUCCAGACGGCUCACUGUAGUCGCCAAUUGACUCAUUUGGUUCUCCAAGUUCUGAAUGCUUACUGUAGUUGCCUGCUGAAAUUGUUGAGUGUUAGUUGCAAGUGAUUUAACAAUUUCUUCAAGAGAUAUACCUGACUUAGAGUUUGACUGUGGAGGUGUUGGUUGUCUUGGUGGAUGCUGUUGUGGGAAUCCUGGCGGCCUAACGCCAUAGCUGAAGUUCGGAUGAUCCUUCCAUCCCGGAUUGUAUGUUUGUGCAUAAGGAUCAUACCUCCUCUGAGGCAUGCCUGGAAAUCCUCCAACUGCAUUGGCUUGUUCAACGGGUUCUUCUUGAAGUGUAGGACACAUAUCAGUUGAAUGACCCAUAUUGUAACAAAUACCACAAGUCUUCACCUGUUGCACAUUACCUACAACAAACUUUUCCACAAGAGAAGUGAGUUUAUCUAAACGUUGUUCAACAGAAGAAAUAUUUACCUCAUUCACAUUCCUUAAGGUGGCAUCUUGUCUGCUGCCAAAUUGUUGUGCAUUGGCAGCCAUAUUUGAUAUCAACUCCCUUGCUUGAGUAGGAGUCUUGUUCACCAACACACCUCCACUAGCAGCAUCUAUCAUACUCCUAGCAAUCAAUGAUAGUCCUUCGUAAAAAUAUUGAAUAAGAAGUUGAUCAGAAAUCUGAUGCUGAGGACAACUGGCACACAAUUGUUUGAAUCGCUCCCAAUACUCAUACAAAGUCUCCCCAGGAAGUUGUCUGAUCCCACAAAUAUCUUUUCUGAUGUUGGCAGCUCUUGAAGCAGGAAAGUACUUCUCGAGGAACUGCUUCUUCAAACCAUUCCACGUUGUAAUCGAUCCAGGAGGCAAGUAGUACAACCAAUCUUUAGCUAGCCCAUCUACAGAGAACGGAAAAGCACGCAGCUUAAUCUGCUCUUCAGUCACGCCUUGUGGCCUCAUACUUGAGCACACAACAUGAAACUCCUUAAGAUGUUUAUGAGGAUCUUCACCUGCAAAACCAUGAAACUUGGGUAAUAAGUGAAUAAGACCAGACUUUAAUUCAAAAUUUACCUCCAAGUCUACAUAUUCCUUCAACCAGAAAAAUAGGUUUAGCUCUUCAUAGAGAGAAGAGAAAAAUUAGAUCUAGGGUUUCUUUCUUUUUCUCCAAUCCAAAAUUCCCUCUUUUUCACAAUAGAUUCCUCCCUUAAAUACUUUCUCUCUCUUCUCUUUUAGAAUUCUAUUUAAAAUAAAAUCCUAAUAUCUGAAAUAUUAAAUUCGUAAUUACAAAAAUAACCAAAAAUACAAAACACGUUAAACUAAAAACUGCAGGUCCGCAGUUGACAGCACGCGCCCACGCCUUAUCAACAAAGUUCUUCUGACGCUCAUAAUUUCUCCAAGAGAACAAUCAUCCUUAAACAUCAUCUUAUAGCUCAAUUUUAUCAUCAAUCAAUAGAAUUGCACCUACAAAAGUAAAACACAAGUAAAUCACUAUUAUUAAGUGCAAAACAUUGAUAUUAAGGGAAGUAAAUAAUGCAAAACUAGUGCAUAAAUUGCACUCUAACACAAUGUUUGAUGUUGUUUCUGUUGGCCUCAGCUAAUUGUUAAGAUUUCAUACUUUUUUCUGGUUUUUCAUAACCGUGACCUAAAACUUAAUGUAUACUUUGAUAAUUACAUAAUCGGCUUCUUGCUUAUAUUUGGCUUUAAUUUGUAGACCUGAGGCUCUUUUGGGAGUUGGGAAGAUUUACGAAAGAGGAGUUUCUGAUUAGCUGGUUUGUUCUCUUUAUGCCUACAGAAUUUGAGUUCACUGGAUUCACCUUGUUUUGAUUUACUACCAAGAGGUGUUAACAGUUCAUCAUGCACAAAAAGAGGUGGGGAAAAAAAGAAAUCUUCUUGCUAGAUACAUAAAUUUAAUAGUUGAAUCAUUUUCAACCAAAGAAAUGUGCUGAAGAGCAGCAUUUUCGUUUAUAUCAAAGUUCAAUUGCAUCUUAUAUCAUCUGUUUCCAUCUCCUUUGUGGUAAAUAAAGUCCUUGAUGAUGACAAUAAGAAUCACAGAAGAAGUUGUUAAUUUCAUAUCUGGAGAUUUUCAUCAUAGUAGUUCAUUGAAAGUGAAGACAGCUGAGUAUUGCUUUUUCUGAUGCAGUCUGUCCCUCUUUGGUGUGUUUAUUUGAAAUUUGCGCAAGAAUAUGAUCCAUCUAUACGAGAAUGUGCCUAAUAAAAUAUCACAAAGGUGCCUAAUACAGUGAAAUUAACAUAUUCAGCUCAUGAGAUUGCCAUUAUAUAUAUUGAAAAAGAAAUUAAUAUAAGAAACUGAAAAUUAAUUGACACUGGAUCAAAUUGGAUUGUUAGUUGUUAAUUAUGAUGGCAAUAUAAUCUUGGUCUUUUAAUUAUCAUCUAGGUAAUGCAUGUGCACUUUCAUUUGUGAGAGAGAAAAUAUUUGACAAUCACGAAAACAACAACAAUUCACUCCCAUAAACAACAUAAUAGAUACAUGGUCUAUAUUGCAAGUCUUUUUAUGAUUUUAAUUAAAAGAGAAAAUGCAAAGGACAUAUUAUAUAUAAUUGAAUGUUCUCCUUGAUAAUUGGUCAAAAUAACACCAAUCUGGCUAACUAAUACAAUCAUCAUAAUUAUCCGAUUUUCAUUUUAAUUAUGUCCAAUCAUGCUAAUUUAAUAAAGAACACGGAAUACAUGAGUAUUUAUAUGUUCAACAACUUUGGCUGAGUAUUAAAAAUAUAAAAGCUGCAUUUUUGCUUUGUGUUACUGUAGGACAUGACCAUAUUAUGUUGCAUUUGUCAGAAAACUGAAAAUUAUCGAAAAGGAUCCUAAAAGAGAUGUGUUGAAUUGUGAGCUUAAAAAUGAGUUUUAGAAGUUUCUGACAUGUCGGUUUGUAUCCUUGAUUGUGCAUGCCCUGUUGGUUUCUGGAUGAAACAGGAGAAUAUGACAUCUGUGUAUUGUCUUUUACUUGCAGUAAGUGAAUCACAUGUUCUUCACAUGAUUUGACAUACUUAAUACGGAUUUAGCAGUUGUUUUGGUCACUUAUUGACUGACCGUUGUAAGGCGGGAAAAUUCUGGGUUUCUUACAACAAACCCAGAAGGCAGCUGGUGAGUGGGAGAUGUUUCUAGCUUCUUCAUGAUCUGUAUAUAUAGUCUUAGAGGCUAUAGUUGAGCCAUAUGAAAAGCUUGUAACUCCUUAAUGUUUGUAGCUUGUUCUUGGUAAUUGCUAUAUGAGCCACCAGCUGGAAGCAAAAGAUUCAGGAAUCUGAUUGCUGACUUCAUGAAAAUGUACCACCAUAUUCCACUAAAUGCUCAUGUGAGAAAACCUUCACCACUCAUCUGUUUUUUUACUUCUCUAGACAAGUAAUUUUUGUAUUGUCUGUCCUAGAUUCUGUUUUCCUUGAUGCAUUAUUUCAAUUUCUUUGCACGUGAAGUCCUAGGAUCUGUUUCCCCUGAUGCAUUAUUUCAAUUUCUUUGCAUGUGAACUUGGAGCAUUCAUAUUAUUUUAGGAGUGAAUUUAUUGGUCAUUUACUUGUUUGUAACAAAUAACGUAUGAAACAAUCUUGUUAUUUUUUGUUCUCAAUAUGUAGAGAUCUAUGGACCAAUUGCUUGUCUUCUGUUAUCCUCAUUAGAAUUUCUUUAGACUACUUCCACUUCAUGCUAUUUGUGAUAAGUUGUAUUGUUUUUGUGGUCUUUCUUUUGUCUGUUGGACAAAUACUGUAAUAUGAAAUUUUAUCUAAUGCUGUCCUUUAUUCAUUUUGCAUCCUGUCCCCGCUAGUAGUUAAAUGUAUUUUUGGAUUUGUCAAUUUAUUUGAUUUGAUGAAAUCUUGAUUCUCAUGUUAUCUAUCUGUUUAUCCAACUUGACCAUGGAAUGUGUUGUUGAUGUGAGUUACGCUGCACGUGCUUGUUAUUCAUCUAGUCCUUUUAUGUAAACAUACGUGUUUGGAUGUACUCGUAUAUAUACUGGACCCGAGAUAUUUGCACCUGACCUACUUAUUGAUGUACAUGUAAAAUGAAGAACUUUUUGAGAUCUGCAUCUGCAGUAGAUGAUAUAUUUAAUGAAAAUUACUGGGCAGCCAGACUUUUGUGUUGACAUUGAAGGGGGAGAUGGACAAAAGUCGAAGUAAUACAAUGAGUGCUGAGUUGGAACAUGUUAAUGCUCAUUUGGAAAAUGGGGUUCUGAGGAUCACAGUGCCAAAGCUUGCAGCCUAAGGUCAUCAACAUUGAAGAAGAGGCUAGUAAUUCUUCCGGUGAAGAUAUUAACGCCCUGAAAGCUCAAAUGUAAUUGAUUAAAGGAAGAAGUGCUUGCUUUGCUUGAUGUGCUAUUCGUUUAUGAUUUUUCCUCGUUUUGUUUUGAGACGUUUCUCUUUGGAUGUUCUGUUUAUUGUACUUUGAUGGGUUUUUGUGAGGAUGGCUUGUAUGUAUUAACAACAAUAAAGUGCUUUUUAUAAAUCCCUAGUCCUACAGCACUAAAAGAAAUUAAUACGCUUGGUUUAUUGUAGGAUGGCAAUGGGGACGGGAGGGGAGGGGAGGGGACCAAUCUCCCCAUACCCAUCCCCGAUAUUUUGUUAUCUCCCCGUCCCCGUCCCCUCCCCGUCCCCGUCAGAAUUGUUUAAGUGAAUCCCCAUUCCCUCCCCGAAUAAUAACAGGGGAUCCCUGAGGGUCUCCGGUCCCCGAAUAAUUAAUAGUCUAAUACAUUUUUUUUAUUUUCGAUUUUAAAUUAAUCAUAUUAAAAUAAAAAAUUCAGAUAAAAAUAAAGUUCAAAAUAUACCUUGCAUUAAUAAUGAUCCAUUUCAAAGUCACAUUCAAAAUAUAAAUUAUUAAAAUAAUUAUCUUUGUCAAUGACUCAAUCUUCAUAAUCCUACAAUAAAAAGAAAAAAAAUUAUUUUUAUAUCGGCAAUAAAAUAAAUGUAGAUACUUAAUUAAUAUUUUUAAUAAAACUAUUUACCUCCUACUCUUCCUGUUCUUCCUCGAGAAAUGUGGCAAAUUGAGAGCUAGCCUCAGAUUUCAAACCUAAAACAAUGAAAAUGAUAUAAGUAACGUAACUUAUAAACGCAAAUAUUAAUAACUGUAUAAUAUAAUUACAAUAUAAAAUAAACUCAUACUGCUAUUGUAAGCUCGUAACCAACUUUGACAGCACCUUAAGGCCUCCAAUGUGCUUGGAUGAAGUUUGUUACGGUGUGGGUUCACAAUUCUACCACUGGUGUUAAAAGCUGAUUCAGAAGCAACUAUUGUAAUUGGAAUUGCCAAAAUAUCUCUAGCAAUUCGAGCUAAUGUAGGAUACAAAUUAGGAUUAGAACUACUGUAAAUUAUAAUUAGGCAGCUCUCUCCUGUAUUAUUGUGGUUUGGAUUAAAAAUUUAAGACUUUAAUUAGUUUAUUAAGUUUAAAAGUUUAAUAAUAUAACUAUUUUAAUAUUUAUUAUUUUUAACAAUAUUUAUAAUUUUGUUAUUUAUUUAUUAGUAAUUUUAAAAUUAAAAUUAAAAUUAAAAAUUAAAAUGGGGAAAUGGGUAGGGGAUGGGGAUUCCACCUCAUCCCCGUCCCCUCCCCGAAUAAAAAAUUGGGUAAAAAAUUUUCCCCGUACCCUCCCCGAAUGGGAAAAAUCUCCGAGAGUACCCGUCCCCGUAGGGAUUUUUGCCAUCCUUAGUUUAUUGUUAAUAAAUAUAUAUAUAUAUAUAUAUAUAAAGUCUUUUUCUUUGGCAUAUGUUAUGCAUUAAAAAAAUAAUAAUAAUCACACUCCAAUUCAUAAGGAUAAUCCUCGUGUCAUAUUAAUGUGUUAAUACGAAGGUCUUUUGGAAUUAUAACAGUUUUGAUGAAUCUGGAUAUUCAAUAACUGAUCAAUUGUAUUUAUUAAAAUUAAUAGUAAUGGCACAGAAACAAUUAAUUCAAGAACUCGCCUACAGUGCAUUAAUUUAAAAUAAUUUUUUAAUGCAGUCCAGUCCUUAUGUGUUUAAUUAGCAAUUGAAAACUGCAUAACAUAAUAACGUUGUUGCUGACGAGACAGCUGGUAAUUCUUUUGGUGCAGACAUUAAGGCCACUAAAGCUGAAACGUAAUGAGAGAAAUAUAAUGUGUUUGCUUAGUUUGCUUUUCCUUUUCCUUUUCCAUAUUUGUAUGGCCAAUGCUUUACUUAGAUUGCUUUUUGUUUUUCAUAUUUAAUUGGCUUUGUAGCGGGGUACUAUUUUCUCUUUUCAUUUUUUGUUUUCUCAUAUAAAGUAAUAAAGUGCUUUUAGUAAAUCAUGGUCGGUUUACUAUUAAUUAAUCAAAUUUAAUUUACUUUGGCUGUAAUAAAGUGCAUCAUUGUUAUUAUAAGCUGACCCUGUAUAACAAUAGAAAGAGCACCCAACAUCCCAAGAUCUUCCAGCAAAUUAAUGAGAUUACUCUUGUACACGAUCAAAAUAAUUUCAAUUUCAUCGUUUGUAUAUGUCAAUAUGUGUGUGUAUAUAGACACACGCUCGCAUACACAAAAUGAAAAUAAUUUUCAAAUAUUAAAAUAGUCAGCAUAUUAACAAUUUACAAUUUAGAUUAUACGCAGACGAAAUAAUGCUAACAACAAUAAAGUGCGUUUUAUAAAUCUUGAUCCUACAAUAGUAAAAGAAUUAAUGAGCUUGGUUUUUAUUAACAAAAAUUAAAACUAUUAAAUUAUAUUUAUAAAUAUUAAUAGCAAUGGCACAGAAACUAUUAAGUUAAAUUAAACAAUUUUGUAAUACAGUCCAGUCCUCGUGCGUUAAUAUUGUUGCUGAUGAGGCAGCUAGUAAUUCCUUUGGUGUAAAUAAUUAACUUUCAUAUGCACAAUAUUUAAAAUAAUCACCAAACAACAAUUCACAAGUUACAUUUUUCAUCUAUUACAACAGUGAAAAAUAUUAAUCGCAAAAGUGAAAAAUAUUUCAUUUAACAAGUCCCAAUAUUGUCCUCCAGCCUUUCUGCACUUCUCUGCUAUCAACGGACAACUCCAGAUCCAUAAUCGCAAAAGUGAGGAAGGCAGUCAUCCUCUGUUCAAUUAUCAAAAACUCCUUUUACCAUCCAUUUCAGUCGUCCACUGUUCAGUCACCAAAAACCAAUUUACCAUCCAUUUCAACGCCUAAUUUGAAAAAAGAAAAUACUAAUAAUAAUAAAAUAUUCCAGUCGUCCAUCCUUUCACAAAUCAAAAAUUUCACCAAAAACCAAUUUGUCAUCUAUUUCAAAACAAUUUUUGCCAAAGUCCUCUCCUCCUCGGCUAAUUAAUUCAUACAUUAAUACAGUCCUCCUCUGCUGAAUAAUGCAAACCCGUUACGUUAUUCUACCGUUUCUUAAAUUUAAAGCAUUCCACCAUUUAAUAAAAAAAUUCAAAAACCCAUUAUAUACAAUACAAAAAGCCCACCGACACCAAACCAUAUUAAUUUAAAAUAGUUUUCAAUUGAGAUUUGAAUUUUAAAAUUACAUACACAUACACACCCGAUUUAAAAAAAUAAUAAUAACUCUAACAAUAAAAUAUUUCAGCCGUCCUCUGUUCAAUCACCAAAAACUCAUUUGUCAUCUAAUAGCAACAAAAGGUAUAUGGGUUAACAAGUCCCAAUAUUGUCCUCCAUCCUUUCUGCACUUCUCUGUUAUCAACGGACAACUCCAGAUGUAUAAUUGCAAAAGUGAGGAAGGCAGGCCCUUCUCCGGAAAGUAUUUGAGCUUGGGACAUCCCCGGAGAACCAAUUCAGUGAGGUUUCGAAGAUCAACAAUUGAAGAAGAUAGGCGUUCCAGAUUUGGAAAAUCUUCAAUCCGCAGAGAUGUUAGAGUGGCAGGAAGAGGAAGCACGGUCCCUAAUCUUUUGUCCUCUAGUGGAAAUGACACCAUGUCGUCAUCGCAUCCGUCGAUUAUGAGUUCUCGCAGAGAGGAGAAUCUGUGAAAUCCCCGUCCCCGCUCAAUCAUUGACUUCCAAAUCUCCAUAUUACCCCGAAUAUGAAGUGAAUGAAGGUUGGUGGGAAGGCCAUCAUCUUCUUCAAGGCUUGGAAGGUCACCUCCUUUUAUUCUUAAUUCUUGAAGAGAGGUCAGAUUGUGCAAUCCCUUGGGUAAGGCCUCUAGUCUCUCACAAUUAAAUAUCACCAGCCCCGUGAGUUUCGCACAAGGCAAUCCCCCUUCGGGAAAGGACACCAGAUUUCCACAUUCCUCUAUGCUAAUCUCUCGAAGCUGGCGGAGAUUAUGUAAACCACUCGGUAAAAUUUU
rnacentral:lncRNA from 1 species